AAUGUCAUCAGGGGUUUUUGAUUCUCACAGUUUUCUCAAGCAAACUACUGAUAAUGUUAAUGUCCAUUUUUUCCUCCAAAAGAACUCAAAGAUGACGCACAUCUGGCUGAUCUUACCCUUUUUCCUUAUGGUUCGGUUGUCAACUGCAUCCAUGAUCCAUCUCUUUUCAAGGAUUACCCCCUUGCACAAUAUAAUAUAGUUUUUUUUUCCUCCCAAACUCUGCAUGAUUUGUAUCUCAGUAUUGUAGCUUUCCUAUUAUAAACCAUCACUCGUUAUGUGGCAAUUUUUUGGAGAAUCUUAUAUGCUCCUUCAGCUCCCUGUGGUCUUCAGAUGUCCUUGAUCAUCAGUUUCGCUUUUUUUAUGAUGAUUUUGUACGGCAGAGAAGAACGCCCCCUUUUUUCCAGUAGGAUUUAACUGCGCCUAGCAUAAGGACUCAAUCUUUUUUUGAUGAUUAACGAAUUAAAUUUCAGUAGUUUAUCAGCUGCUGAGCACAUCUGAAGCUUAGCACUGAGUAUUAAAUGAACAGUACCUACUCUGAGAUCGAUAACUGACUAAAGUGGCUUAAUAUUGAGAUGCGGAGCUUUGAUGUUGGCAUCACACGAAGAGGCAACAAUAGUGGCUGUUCCCCUUUUUUGGGGUGAACAUUCAUCUGGUUCAUUGAAGAAAUGUUUAAGCUUUUUCCCAUCUGCUUCAUGUAUCUAAAAACAGAUUGACAGAAAUAGUUUCUUGACUUUCUCGAACGUAGAAAUAUUUCACGAGUUUUUUGAAUUAAAAUUUUAUUGUUUAAUGAAUUAAUUGUAUAAGACAAUUAAAUAUAUUCACUUUCCUAGGUUCCUUCUACUUUUAGUCGAAUUCCAAGACAAACCAACUUUACCUUACAACCCAAGUGUAUACCUGUUGAUGCAAUUUUACCAUGUAUUACCAUUUGCUUGCAUUCUAAUUAGGGAUAAUUUUAGAAAUCUCUGUUGAGAUUUUUCAUAAUACAAUUUUACGUAGUCUCUUUCAUCUACUUGUAUCAUCAUCUUUACUACAACACUAAUUUCUUAAAUUUCACCAUAUAGUUUGAUAUUUUUAUAUCGAAAAAUGACCAAUUUCAUCACUUAAAAAUUUUCAAAAGGAUAUUUUUAACUAGAAGGUAUUGCUAAACAAACACACCAUUUUAUUUUCUGUGUUGUAGACACGGAUUUUAGUUAACCCACUUUCAUCAACGAAUGUCAGUGCCUCAAAGCUAAAAUCUAAAGGCCCAAUAUACAAGUUCCUAAGCGCACUCGCAGGAGCCUAGACAUACCUUGUCCAAUAAUACUAAUUUUGAGUGUACCAUGUCUUAAUGUAAUUAAUGUGUAUACCAAACACAAAUAAUGAGUGUAUUUGGAUAGUAAAUUAUUUGGAAUGACUUUUGUAAAAACAUUCUGUAUCACUUUUUUGAUGUGAUAUAUAUGAGAUAAAAAAAAUAGUUAAAAAAUAUGUUGACUAUACAAGAAAUAAAAUUUUGACAAAUAUCUCAAAAGAUAAUUACCGGACAUGGCUAUUUUGACUAUUGUGCUAAAUAUAGUGAUGGUUAUAAAGGCAGGUGUCCACGGAUACUUGUAUUGUACUAUGUCUCAAUGUAAUUAAUUUGUGUGCCAGGCACAAAUAAUAUUCUUAAAAAAUGAUUACCAUUCACAGCUAUGUUGAUUGCUGUGCAGAUAAAUUAUGCUCCUAAGUAUAAAAUUGCACCCCGCUAUUUGUUCUCUUAUUACUUUUCUUUUCCUUCCCUUAUUUGAUUCAUUCCGCCACUCUAACCUGUGGAUAGUAAUCCUGCAAUGACAAUCAACGUGUUUUUUUUUUUUUUUUUUGUAAUUUUUAGGUCUUGAAUUCAAAAUCUCAUAUUUAUUCUCCUUUUUUUUUUGCAAGUGGAAGGUUUUGAAUAAAAAAUUUUCUAUUUACGAUAUCUCCUAUCUUAUAAUCCAACUCAAUUCCUCCCUCGCAAUAACAAUUAAGUUUUUUUUUUAAGUGUAAGUGAAAGGUUUCGAUUCUGAAACCUCUUACUUACACUUCUUGCUCUUUGUUAGGGCUAUGCAUAUUCGAUAUUUUUCGAUUUAUCGAUCGAUUUCGAAUUCAAUUUGGUAAAAUGAAAUCAGUAAAACAUAACAUGAUCAGUAAAACGGAAGUUUCGAUUUCAUAAAUAUCGAACUAGUAUCGAAAUCGGAUUGGAGGGCUUUUAAAUUUGAUAAACCAAUUUCGAAUUAAUAAUUCAAAAAUGAAAACGGUUACCAGUUUCGAUUUCGAUAUCGACAUAUAUAUAUAUACCUAUGCAAAUAUAAAUAUAGUUAUUAUAGUAAAACAAUAAUACUUAUAUUAAUACAAUAAUACCAAUUGCCAUUUACCAAACAAAUAAGAAAUAAAAAAAACACUCGCACACAUACACAAAUGACAAAUGACUUGUGAGAUUAAGACAAGAAACUUUUAGGUUUUGACUUCAAUACCCAAGUUUGCAACUCCUAACCUUAGCGCCGUUGUUGCCAUUCACACUCCUUCUGCUCAUUCCAGCUUUCGUCGCCCAAACUACCAGCCACAGCUAUCACAACAAUCACGACUUGUCGUCCUCCGCCUCUUAAUUAAAUGAUUCAAGCAUUCAUCUCUCACAAGCAGUUGUAUGAUGCAAAGGGCAAUAGAGAUCUGUUGUAAGAAGCUAACUAAAUCAGGGGUUAUAGAAUUGAGAAGGCAACUCGAGAGAGAGAUGAUAAUAUUAUUGAUUGAUGAUGAAAUGAAGAGGAUGAGUUGAGAAUGAUACAAUUUUUCCAAAAUGAUCUAUUUCCUAUCCCUCUUGGCCCUUAGUACAAGAUUUGUUCACAACCAUUCUAAUUCUGUAACUAACUUCCAGCUAACUAACUAACUUGUCUGACGUGGCAUAACCGACUUGCUUGACAUAGUAGUAACUAAUUUCCAGUUGGCAUGACUACUUAUGCAAUCAUUACACAAAUCAUUACAACCGUUGCUUAUGCAAUUAUUGCAAUAAAAAUUCAAUAUUACAAUCAUUAGGAAUUAUUUUCAAAUGUAACAAUACUUUCCCCUCAAACAUUUCUUGUCCUCAAGAACUGAAGUAAGAAUAUUGCUGGUGAAGAUUAAACCAGUAUUCCUAUAUUGCAUCCCCUAGAAAGCUGUCAUUCUACUGUACAAGAAUCAGCGUAGCAGCAGUCCUUUCUCUACUCACCAACCUCCUGUCUAAAAUAGCCAUUGAUUCUAUGAGCAAGUGGCCUUGAUCAGUGACUCUAGUAGGAAUGUGUUAUUGUACUGGUUGAUUUCCCACAUGUUUCUUCAAAAGAAAUACAUGGAAGGUGGGAUGUAUUUUGACAUCUAUAGGAAGUAGUAAUUUAUAAGCCAGGGAACUAACAUUUUCAAUGAUCUGAAAGGGUCCAAAAUAACAUGGAGACAACUUUUGACAAGAGUGUAAGGUUGGAGUUUAACACAAACGAAGUUCCCUAGCUCAAAGGUUCUCUCAUACCUAUGCUGAUCAACCUGCUGUUUCAUUCGAUGUUGAGCCUUUUAGAGGUUGUGCUUUAACAAUGAAGAGUAGAUUCUCUUGCGGUUAGACUUCUAUACACAUUAUCUAUAGUAGAGCUGCCUAGAAUAUAAGGAAUAUGUAGUGGAUGUGACUAGAGCUGUUAAACGAACCGAACUGUUCGGUAGCUCGGUUCGUUUCGACUCGUUCGUAUUCGUGAAAGGCUCGUUCGAAAUCUUAAACGAACCGAGUUCGAACGAAUUUUUUUGUUCGAUUAAUAAUCGAGCGAACACGAGCAUGUUCGCGAGUUUUAACGAACGUUCGCGAACAUGGACAUAAUUAUCAUUUGAUAAAUUUUAGGGUUAAUUUUAUGGCUGGACUUUUAUAUUUGGAGGGCAAAUUGCUUUGUUUUAUUUGUUAUUUUUAUAUUAAUGUUAGUUAUAUAGUUAAUGAAUAAUAGAAUUUAGUCAUUUAGUGCUUUAAUUAUUUUUGAGAAUGGUUAAUAAUUUGCAUGGCAUAUUUAAGGCUUAAAAUAAUUUGGAUUCGAGCAUUUCGAGCAUGUUUACGAACGGUUCAUUUAUGUUAAACGAGUCGAACACGAACUCGAACUCGAACAUGAAUUUUGCUUAACGAGCCGAACACGAACACAGGUUUGGAGUUCGAAAAUUAACGAACGAACACGAACGUUGUUCGAACUGCUUAACGAACAGAGCUCAAACAUGAGAUACUCGGUUCGAUUCGGUUCGUUUACAGCUCUAGAUGUGACUACCCAUAAACAAGCUCAUAGGGUGUACUCCUAAUAGUUGAGUGAAAGUUUGUGUUAUACCAAAACUCUGCUAGAGGCAACCAGAAACAUCAUUGUUUUGGGUGAUCACAGCACAUGCAUCUCAAGUAAUUUUCCAAACAUCUAUUAACAACCUCCGUUUGGCCAUUUGACGAAGGGUGAUAAGUAGUAGAUAAACGUAGUUGUACCUUCAGCAGCUGAAAUAGUUCCUUCCAAAAGUGACUAAUGAAAGUUACAUUCCUGCUAUUGACUAUAGUUUUAGGGAAACCAUUGAGCCUAUAUAUAUUGUCUAAAAAUGCUUGAGCAACUGAAAGUGCAGUGUAGGGAUGUUUGAGAGGAAUGAAAUGAUCAUACUUGCUAAGUCUAUCCACUACCACAAAGAUAGUGUCAUUACCAUCAGAUUUGUGUAAACAUCAAUAAAAUCCAUUGAUAUCUCAGAUCACACACACUCAGGAAUAGGUAAAGGCUGCAGCAAACCUGAGAAUGCCACAUUUUCAACCUUGUGCCUCUGACAAAUAUCACAGGAAGCCACAUAUUGCUCUACAUCUUUUUGCAUACUUCUCCAAUAUGCUAACUCCUUAAGCUUCUUAUAGGUUACCUGAACCCUUGAAUGUCCCCUAUUUGGAGUAUCAUGCCACAACCUGACAAGCUUUUGUCUUAAGCUUGAAUCAUUUCCUAUCAGCAAUCUCCCUUUUCUUCUUAAUCGUUGAUAUUGAUAGGUGUGGUGUGUAUGUUGAAGAGCACUUGUUGGGUCCUGCAACUAUUGAAUGAGAGUUUGCAAUUGAGGAUCUCGAUGGCAACUUUGCUGAAUCUCAGAAAUCAAUAUUGAUCUGAUGACUGAUAUUGGAGCUAAUACUGCUACUCCAGGAGUAUGUUGCUUUGACAAUGCAUCAGCUACUACAUUAUCAACUCCUUUUCUAUAUGAAGUUCAUAGUCAUAUCCCAUGAGUUUUGCUACCCAUUUCUGCUGCAUAGGUGUAGAUAUACCCUAUACUCAAUCAGGUAAUUAAGACUCUGGUGAUCAGUCUUAAUCGCAAAGUGUCUACCCAACAAGUAAGGUCUCCAUUUUUGCACUGCACUCACUAUAGGUAACAUCUACUUCUCAUACACAGAGAGACCUUUGUGCUUAGCAACUAAAGCCUCGCUGAAAUAUGCCAGAGGCCUCCUCUUUUGACUCAGAAUUGUCCCAAUACCAUCACCUGAAGCAUCUGGUUCCACUUAAAAAAUUUGUGAAAAAUCUGGCAAAGCAAGUACAGAAGGUGAACUCAUGACUAUUUUUAACUGUAAGAAUGCCUCUGUAACCUUUUCUAUUCACAUAAAAUUGUUCUUCUUAAGCAAAUUUGUCAAGGGCUUGGCCAGCUUGCCAAAAUCUUUAAUAAAUCUUUUGUAGUACCCAACUAAAUCCUAAAUAUCUCUUAACUCUUUCAAGUUAGAAGGUGUUGGCCAUUGUUGGAUAGCUUGUAUUUUCUGAGGAUCUACUUGCACUUUUUCUCCUGAAAUCACAUGCUCUAAAUAGGUUACCUGUUUUUCUGCAAAAAACCACUUACUCUUUUUCACCUUCAGGCUAUGUUGUCUUAGAGUUUUAAAGGUGAUUUUUAGAUGGUCCAAGUGAUCAAACCAAGUUAAGCUAAAGAUAAGAAUAUCAUCAAAGAAAAUCAGUAUGAACCUUCUCAAAUUAGUUUGAAACACAAUGUUCAUCAAACUCUGAAAAGUAGAGGGUGCAUUGGUCAACCUGAAUGGUAUGACCACAAACUCAUAAUGUCCCUUAUGAGUUCUAAAGGCAGUUUUAGCAACAUCAUUCGAGUACAUUCUUAUCUGGUGGUAACCAGAUCUGAGGUCCAACUUAGUGAAGAAGUGAGCUCCAAACAACUCUUCAAUCAAUUCCUCUACCAAUGGUAUAGAAAACUUGCCUUUUAUAGUGGUUAAAUUUAACUCCCUAUAGUCAAUACACAUUUUUCAAGUUUUAUCUUUCUUUUUUACUAACACAACUGGAGAUGAAAAUGAGCUUGUACUGUGCCUAAUGACAUUAUAUUGCAACAUUUCCUGAACCAACUUUUCAAUCUCAUUCUUUUGAUAAACAGGAUACCUAUACGAUCUUACAUUCACAGGGACAAUCCCUUCUUUCAAAACGAUUUUGUGAUCCUGAGAUCUAUAUGGGGAAAGUUUAGAUGGUUCUUUCAAAAUAUCCUCAAAUUUUGGUAACAACUUAUUUAAUUCACAUGCUUCAAGUUCAUAUACAGGAUUGGUUACUUGAGAGUUUCCUUCCACAUGACAGAGGCUACCUAGUUGCUCAUUUGAAGCGUCCUACACAGAUAUGAUGAAACACAGUUGAGUAGAAGCAAUCUGCUCUGAUUUAUGCAGAAUCUUAUGCAUAGCCCUCCUAUGAACCAAUUGAAUAACCCGCUGGCCCUAUCUUCUUAACACCACCCUCCUCUUUCCAUUUAGAAAUUUCAUUUUUAACUUUCCAAAGUUUCACUUAACAUCUCCUAAAGUUGAUAACCAUUGAAUGCCCAACACUAAUUCACAGCCUUUCACAGAAGUACCAUGACAUCAGUCUUGAAAGUUUGAUUCUGCAUAAAAUCAAUAUACAGUUUCACCAAAUCCUAGGUUUGCUCCGAGUAAGGUUCAAUCAUUAGAGGAGACAAUUAUCACCAUAACUUUUGAGAUUUUUAUCCUGCAAAAUGACAAAUUUCAUCACUUAAAGCCUCAAAAGGAAAUUUUUAACUAGUAGGUAUGGCUUAACAAACACACCAUUUUAUUUUCUACUAGUUUUUUCAGCCUCACGUAAUGCGUGAGAAUGCCCUGGGUCUAUGUUAAUCAAGAUCAAAUGAAGGCAAGUGGAUUAAUGUAAAAUGGUUAUAUAUUUAAUAAAUGAUAGGUGUUAAUAAAUGUGGAGAAUUUGACUUUAGGUAAAUUGAAUAUUACUGUUACUCGUUUACUCAUUUGAUUUGUAAUUUUCUCUUAGAUAAUCAGUCUUUGGCUUAAGAUCUUUGCGAAUUCUUGAUAUUAUAAAUAAAUGAUGCAUUCAUUUCAAAUGUACAAGUACAUACAUAUAUCAUAAAUAUGGUGAUGCUGAUCACUUUUAAAAUUAUGCACACACUAUUUGUAUCUAAUAAAAAAUGAAAUAAGUUUAAACAAGAUCAGUUAGGUGAGAGUGCGAAGAUUUCACCUUGUAAAAUCGCCAAAUCCAGGUCUUCAAUUGGAGAAAGAAAUACAUCUAAUAUGUUGCUUUUCAGAUGGCUUUCUCUCAAGAUUACAUAGGCAAUACAGCUUUGUGCGGCUCCCACAGACCGCUUCGGACACCACCCACCGUCCACUCACCAGGGGAGCUCAAGCAACUACAACUAUACGAUGAAGAUACAAAUACAUGUCUAAACUCUGAAGUACAAGCACAAAAGCUACCAAAGUUGACCAAGCACACAACUGAAGCACGAAUGCAAAAGCCACCGAAGUUGCCCAUAAUUUAGGCGGUGGAUCUAUUUUACAAAUGGGGUAACAAACUCGUGUUUAAAAAUAAAAAAUAUGUAUUUAUAGAAUCGUUUUUUCAUGCUCGAAAGAAAAAUUGGAACUACUAUAAAAGUUUAAAAAUUAUAAUCCAUUUCUUAAAUUGCAUAUUUUUUUUAUGAAGAAAGUUUAUCCUUUUGUAAAAAAAAUAAUAAUAAUAAUUUACACAGCCACGGGAUACCUUCAUAUUUUUAGUAACAAACUUGUGUUUAAAAUCCGAAAAUAUGUAUUUAUAGAAUCAUUUUUUCAUGCUUGAAAGAAAAAUUGGGACUACUGUAAAAGUUUAAAAACUGUAAUCCAUUUCUCAAAUUGCAUAUUUUUUUUAUGAAGAAAGUUUAUCCUUUUGCAAAAAAAAAAAAGAAAAAAUGUUUACAUGGCCACGGGAUUCCUUCAUAUUUUUUUUAAUUUUUUUUCCAAAACAGGAGGACCCUCUUGUUUAUAUUGACAGUAUACAUUUUCACAUUUUAAUGCAUAUUAUUUAAUCCAAAUUUGAAUUCUAAUAUCAACUUUUAUAUAUAUGACAUGUAUCCAAAAAUGAUAGUGAGUGUGUCUGGAUUGAAAUGAUUUGAAAAAAAUAAUUUGCUUCACAAAUUCCAAUCACCUUUUUAUCUCACAUAUAUCAUAUCAUAAAAUAUGCUACAGUAAUUAUCUCAAAUAAAUCAUCCAAAUAAACUCCUAUCCAAAUAAACUCAGUGUAUACUGUAUAUUCUGAAACUCUUGGUUGAAAUGUAAGAUAAUUAAAGAAUAUUUCGUAAAGCUACAUAUGCAAAACAGUGGAAAUGUAAGAUGCUGCUUUCAACGUGAAUCAAACACAAAGAUGCCAAGUUUCACCGUUCUAUUGCAGCAAGAAAAAUUUGCUUGCAUGAUAUUGCACUAUUAAUGCCUUACACGAAGAGAACUAAAGAGGAUAAUAAUGGAUAUGCCAUAUUAUAUCUAAAAGUUGAAGCACUCAAAACUGGUCCAACUUCCACCAUAUAUACACCCAAACCCUAAGAAAACAAAUCGAAUGUUCCAAUUUCUAGGUUUCAAUUUUUAUAGCAAGCCUAAUUAAGAAUAUAAACAAAAAUUAAAACUCUGAAUGAAGAAAAUACGAAUAAAAGUAUCUAAAGCUAAAGGUUGGGUAGUACAUUACUUUUCUGAAAUUUCUUAUCAAGAAUUAGUUCAAACAUGUUCAAUAAUUCUUUUCUCGUUAUACAUAAUAGUGAUUAAGGCACACUCAGAUGUGUGUAUGACUAAUUAGAAUAAAAAUAUUUGUAAUAAUAAUUCUUUUAUAAAAGUGAAGUAUUAUAGGGGAAACAAGUGCAUGGGCUUAAUUUCGGUGAUGUUAAUAAAGAAAAUUUGAAGAAAUGUGUGUCAAAUAUAGUAGAUAAACAUGGAGAAAUUGAACGUAAAAAUACGGGAAGAUUCGAAGUUACAGUAAAAUUGUUGUUUUAUUAUUUUGUUAGAGAAUAAAUCCAUUUUAUCCUUUAUAAUAAAGGCAAAAAAAAUAAAAAGAAGAAGAAAGAACUAACAAUACAACACCAUAAAGGGCAUCAAGCUUUAUAUAUGGCACAUAUAUGCUUCCUAAAAAAUGCCACUGGAGAGAGAGGGGAAAGAAUUCUAGCGUCUGAACUCUGGAGCAAGAGGGCAAGCUCAAACAAAUUCCUAUGAAAUGCCAUUGGAAUUGUCAAAAUUUACAGCAUAACCAGUCUAUCUGCCUAUGAAAAAGCCACCGAAGUUGCUCAAAAUUACCGGAUAACCGGUCCAUGAGCACUGUAGCAACUCCAACUCGCGCUUUUAGUAUAGUAAAGAUAUGUUGUAGACACAUAUUUAGAGGUGUGCAACGAAUUCGAAUUCGGUAAUUCGAAAGUUGGAAUUCGAAAUUUUUUGAAAUUUUGAAAUAGGAAUUACCGACCGAUUUCGAUUUCGAAUUCACCAGUUCCGAUUUUGAAUUCAAUUCGGAAUUCAGUAAAUUCCAGAUUCACCUAAUUCGGAAACCUUUUAUCCUUUUUUUUUUCUUUUUUGUUAGAUAUAUUGUUAUACAAUAUAAAUUUUAUAUUACACAUAUUAUAAAAAAUAUUAUUAUAUAUAUAAAUAUAUAUAAAUAUAUAUUAUAAAAUGAAAUUGAAAUAAAAAAUAUUAUUAUUAUUAUAUAUAUUUAUAAAUUGAAAUUGAAAUAAAAAAAUAUUAUUAUAUAUAUAAAUAGAUGUAUAUUAAUAUAUAUAUAUUAUAAAACGAAAUUGAAAUCGAAAAUUUCGAUUUCGAUUUCCGAUUUCAAAAACUCCAUUAUCGAAUUCGAACCAAAUUCGCUUAAUUCGAAAUCGAAAAUUCCAAUUUCAUUGCCGAAUUUCGAAUUACCGAUUUCAAAAAUUCUGAAUUCAAUUCGAAUUCGGUUCGUAAAUCGGAAUUUUUCGAUUUUGCACACUCCUACACAUAUUUUAGUUAACCCACUUUCAUCAACUAAUUUCAUCCUCCCAAAAAAUUAAAGGCAUAAUUUCAGAAACCUCCCUUUAGAUUUUUAACAAUUUCAAUUAGUUCUCUUGUCAUUUGAAAAAUUACAUAUAUCUCUCCCGAGUUUACCAUUUUCGUAACUAAAACUAUUUAAUGGUCAAAAUUUUUCAAUGAAUAACCCAAAAUACUCUCAUGAAAUUGUGAAAUUCAUUUAACCUUCUUAUAAAAUUAUUUAAAAACUAUGGAACAUGUAUAAAAUCUCAAACUCAUUUUCAAUUCGCAUAUCUACUAUUUUAAACUUUUCAUAUUACCAUAUCUCAAAUUUGUACUAUUAUGACCAUUAUCACCACUCAAUCGAAAUUUAAAAAAUUUGAACUGCUAAACUCAAAAAAUUUCAAUAACCAUAUCAAUACAACAUCUUAUCCCCCAAAUAUUGGAGUACUAAUAUCAUCUCUAUUUCGCAAGUGAAUUUUAUUUUGGUUUCCAUUAAGUGUUUUAUUGUGUGAUGCAUUCAUAUGAACAAGAUUAGGAGUGGAUUGUUUAUUUAUAUGAAAAAAUAUUAAUAUAUUAAGGCUAUUAUGAUCAUUUUGUAGGAUCAAGGGAGAUACAUGUGAUAUUAAAAAGUUCAAAGGUACCGGGUGAAAUUGUUAGAAGCCUCUCCAAAAACUAAAAUCUAAAAGGCCCCACCCUUGCCACACUCGGUAGCUGGAGCCAAAGACGCCCAAUCUUCUGGAAAAAUUGUUACCGUGCACUGCCAAUUCUGACCAGCGUGCGUACAGAUAAACAAGUAUAAAAUCGCAACGUCACUGUCUGCUCUCCUACUAUUACUUUUCUUUUCCUUUCCAUUGUCAUACCUGACCACUAGAUAGAUUAUAGUAACUCCACCACUCUUAAUCUUUGGUUUUGGGACAGCAAUGACAAUCAAAGUUGUUUAGCAUUAAUACUACGACUGAAUACAUUCUCACGUGGUGCAUACAGUUGUCAAUAAUCCAACCAAACCAACUUUUGUAUCCAUCUUACCUCAUGACUGAGAAACUAGGGUACCUUUCAAAACUAGAUCAUACCUGAACCUGCGGCUGCCCAAACCCUAGUCUGCUACGCAUGGGGGUCAAUUAUUGGGGGAGACAACACCUGCGUUGCAUGAAAUCCAAUAAAGAAAGAAAAAGGAAUGCCCCACAUGAGAUUCACGAGGUCUCAUUUUUCUAGCAUUUCAUUUGGCUUCAUUAUUGAUGCGAGAUUCUUCAUUAUUGAGGUGAUAUUUAUUUGUUUCUUUCUUUCAUGGCCCCGCGCCCGCAGCCGAGGGAAGAAUGGUGGCCGUUAAACGCACAGUUAUGCGUCAUCCAUUUGUUUAUUUUUCAUCCUUCCUACUUCAGUCAGUUUGACUCGUUUACUAAGGCACACCAAUUAUUCUUUUUCUUUUUAAUCAGAUUCCAAGUUUAAAAUGCGUGAAAUAUAGGAACAUGAAUCAAUUCCGAGUUCCAAUGAAUCGAUUUCUUUAAUCCUUAAUUGGAUCUAUUGCUUUUUUUAAAAAAAAAAAAAAAAAAACGGAGGAAAUAACAAUUUCCCAUGUUCUAGCUAAUAUAGUAGUACAAUUUUUUCAGAAGGAUGAAUCUUUUACUCGAUUCCUGUUUCAUAAUUAUAGGUUUUUUUUCUUUUCACGUUGAUUUCAUUCUGGAAAGUGACUCGAUCAACGUGAUUCAAAGCCUUAAUAAUAGGGAAGUGGAUCUCUCGAUAAUAGGGCAUGUGAUGGACAGAGUUAGAGAACUCAGAGAUGAACUCCAACAACGUCGAAUUGCACAUGUACUUUGGAGUUUGGACAGGAAAGACUCCAGCCCACUUCACUUACCUGCGUUGCAAAUGCUGAUUUUCGUGAUACGAAUGGAUUCAAGGAAGAUUUCUUUUUCCUUCAAACAGGGAAAAAAAAAACCUCAACAACCGCCAGUUUGUCGAAUUGAGAUGUCGCCCUUUGAAUUCAAACCGCACACCGCGUUGACUACUCAUACCCAAGAAAAAAAGGAACUUUUUUUUUUAUUGCUUAAUAAUCACUCUCUUUUUUAACGCUUGUACAAAGAUGUUUAUACAAAGAUGUUUAUACAAGGCUUAAGGUGUGUCUGAUAAAAUUGAAAUUUAAAAUCUGAAAUUUGAACUCAGAAUCCAUUAAAUUGUUAAGUAUUAAAUCUAAUAUAUUUGACUGCAUAUCUCAUUCAAUGAUAAGUAAAUAAUUUAUUAUUUAAUUUUAGGAGCAAGUUUUGUCUAGAAAAUUCAGUAUCACUUAAUUAACUCAAAUGCUCAAUUUUUUGUUAUUAACCAAUCUGAAUCCAUUAAAUGUAAAUGUUGAAUUGGAUUAUCAAAAAAGACCUUAGAUAAACCUUCCUAAAGAAAAUUUAAAAAAAAAAACCCUUUAAAGCUGUAUAAAUUAUCAAAACUACACGAAAUAAAAGCAUAAAAGAAGCCGGGUAACAAUAUUUAUGAAAAAAGGCAUCGGAAAUUCCCAACUUUGUACACGAAGUAAUAGGAUUCGUCUCAUCUUAGAACUUUGGUAUCCCUUUGACAUACUUGUGUCGUGUAAUUUGUUUUGUUCAUUUUUUGUUUUUCUUUUUUUCGGGUGUUUCCAUCAUGAGAAGAGUAUUAUAAACUCCUAAGCACCGCAUGGCACUCUCCAGCAAGCAAGUCUGCUGCCCGGCCCCGACGUAUAUUACGUGGUGUUUCUUAUAGCAGCCGUCUAAAAGCGACAUUGGAAUCUUUUGUUGUUUAAUCAUUGCACAGAAUUCGAUUUGGAAUAUCUACUCAUUAUCAAGAUGGCUCCUAGAUUAAUCUAGUAACAUGACGACGUAUAUAAUUUAGUUCCAACCACUUGGGAUCUUUUCUUAUUUUGAAUUUCUCUUCGGGAUAAUUUCAAAAACCAUUCUUAAGUCACUGACCUCCUUUGAGAUUUAUAAAAUUAUACUUACCUCCUUUAAUAGAAUUAUGAACCCAAUUAUUUACAUUAUAUGGGAAGAAAUUAUUCAUAUACCUUGUGACAUUAUGUCUUAUUAGAAACUAAUAUCUAACAAUUGAGUAAUCAGAGCACUAAUUAAGUCAUAGUAACUAAUUAACAAAAAUAGCUAUUGAAAAUUUCUUUAAUGAUGAACGAUCGCUUGCAAUUAUAAAAUAAUGCCAAUUGAUAUAUCAAAUGGCGCUAUUUUGUAAUUCAUAGAAUUUGACAAUGACCAGAAACUAAUUUGUACACAAUAUGAGAAGAAGGGAUAUGGUAGAAGAUAAAACACAAGGUAAAAGAAGGUUGUUCAUGAGGCAAAUUUUUUUAAAACUCUUAAAUUUAUGAUAGUUGUAAAGUAAUUUCGUAGGAACAAAGAAGAAAAAAGAGAAAAGAAAGACAACUUGUAAAAUUUUUUUUCUGUUCAAAAUCACAAGAAUCACAAUAAACCUCAAGUUAAGAAAAAUGGCUGGUCUAUUUUGCUUAAUUUUGUGAUCAUUAAUGUAGUUUGGUUACUUAUUUGUAUAGUGUAAUGUAUUAAAUGUAAACAUUUUGAGUAGUGAAAUGUGUGUGUUAAUUGUUUCUGACUUUUAAUUAUUUUUAUUGUUUUUAACAAUACAAUUUAUAUACACGUAUAGUGAGUAUUUAUGAAAUAAAAGUUCCAUCUCUUUUCUUAAAGUACUUUUUAUGUUACUUUUUCUUAUUUGGACUCGUCUUGUUAUCAAAAUCUCAGUCUUAGGGGAGGUUUGUGCAAUUUUACAAAACUCAGGGGGACUAGUGAAAUUAUCAAAAAUAUCAGGGGAGGUUUUUGAAAUUAUCCCUUUCUCUUUUUACCCUUUGUUUUUAUUUACACCCCACUUUUAGGACGUUUGUGUUUCUUGUAUCCUGUCAAACCCCAUCACAAAUUAAAGAUGCAAUUAAUCCAUCUUAAGAUUAAGCAUAUAUGAAAGCACAAUAUAUAUAUAUAUAUAUAUAUAUAUAUAUAUAUAUAUAUAUAUAUAUAUAUAUAUAUAUAUAUAUAUGAUGGUGAAGAACAACAAAUAGUACAUAUUACCGCGACGAAAUUCACUUAUACUCGAGUAAAGAUAAGGACAUAUAGUUCAUGCGUAUCACCUACUUAUCGCUGAAACUCUACAGUUUGUAUAUGAAUUUGAGUUCUUUUAUCCUUUUUUUUUUUGAUGGAAACAGAGAGUUCUUUUAUAUCCUUCAAAAAAAGAAAUUUUUUUUUGAGUUCUUUUAUAGACCAAGAUGUCAUCGAAUAGAUCAAGAUGGCAAUGACAACUUCAAUCACAUCACUGCCCGAAAAAGCAGGCAACAGAAAUACACCUCAAGCUGCCACGAUUUUGGCAUUUUCUCCGAAAGGUCGGUCUCUUGAGGAGAAACUCGUUUUUGGGAGGCCCAAAUUCAUUCCGCCUUUUGCUCGUCACUUUGGUUAACCCAAAGGCUACAGCUGUUGAUACAGUUUAAUAAUGUUAAUUAGGCCCUAAUGACUUGUGCAGUUGUAUGGGUAUAUUAAUUACUAUGUGGAAAUCUAAGUGGUUUUACUUAUAUGUUAAUUCCAAUGAACCCCCUUGGCCUAUUUAUUAUUUUAAUUUGCGUUUAUAGCUUCUUAUUAGUAAAAAUGCAGUAGUACUUCUUAUUAGUAAAUGCAAGUGUUAUAGUAAUCAUAUCCAUAAGUCAAACGUGAACUAAACAUGAAAACUAAUUAGUGAGAAUGAAUGAAACGUUUGCUCAAUUGUCAAUGUUUUGGUAUAAUCAAUGUUUAGAUGUCAUGAUGGAAUAUGUUAAAUACAAAUUUGACUUAAUUAUUCUAGCUCAAAUUAUAAGAUGUAAUAUGUCUUUAUAACUCUUUGUUUUAUUUGUUCUAUAAUAGUAUUUGUCCAUUCAAGUGAAAUUUUUACAUCAAAAAUAAAUAAGGAUUGAUAUCAAACUUCUUCAAUUGCAAUAUUUGAUUCACUCUAAUACAUGGAUUUUCAAGUUAAGAUUUUGCAUUUACUAGCAAUAUAAAUAGCAAAAGUCAAAGAAAAAACAUUUGUUUUCUAGUAUAAAUGAUAAAAUUUAUUUUAAAUACAAGAAGAAUUAAUUAUUAUAAAAACUACAUUCAAACAUUAAUUGAGCUUAUAAAUAGUUUAAGAUAUCAUGAUGCAAUAUAAAGAUGUAUAAGGAUAUAUUUUACGUCCUGCUAUUUAAGCAUAUUCAUAUAAUGAAUGUGGAAAGGGCUUUUUCCAAGUUUGUCUGAGGAAUGGGAUUUAAAAAAUGACUACUCCAAGGGAAGAGGGCUUUCCCACUUAAAUGUGUGGUACAAAUGCCGGAAUAAAUAAAAUAGACAAGUUGGAAAUGAUUUACCUCUGUGGGCCUUUUUCUUAAGUGGAGUAGUUAGAAGAGACAUAAACCACAACAAAAAUUAAUGUGUGAAAAUAUUAAAUGGGUAAAAUCCAACUUAAAAAUUGUCCUAUCAAUCUCGUGAAUUAGAUCUAUGAUAUCCCAUAGGAAAUUUAGAACAAUUUAAUUGAAAACUUUAUAUAUAGACCAGUUGUGAAACCGUGCAAGGCAUAUGAGCAAGGGAAAGAGAAGACACACAAAUAUUUAUUGUGACAUAAUUUGGACAGGAUUAGGCUGGAGAACCUCGUGGAUUGUGUUUGCACAGCGACGGCAGGGACUCUGGGAGUAUUAAAUAGAGAGAAUCGAGUGGGGCACUGCAAAAGCGUGAGAAACGACGACUGAAAGCAUGAAGCUUGGGGAGGCAGAUUUGCCUUUUUUAAUUGAAAAUUGCUCUGGCGGGGAAAAUAUACUAAAUAAUUAAUUAUUUGCUUUGACAAUAACGCUAGGGAGCCAAACGGUAGUUUUUGAUACAUGGCAAUCUUUACGGCUGUUACUCUCAUUCAAUUCAAUGGCGUAGAUUUGCUUUUGUUUUGCAGCUCAGAAUUACAAUGUCGAUUGUGAAUUUCAAUUUCAAUUUCAUUUUUGUUACCGCCUAUUCUUGUCUUCCGUCAGAUUAAUCCGUACUCCUUACCAAUCAUUAUUGGUACAAAGUACAAAACCACGUCUAUUACCAUUUUGUAGAAUUUUUGUAAGAGCGGAUGAAAACAAUUGCUGCUAUCCAUCGUUUUUCACUUCAUAUAUUUACAAUUGUUAUACGCCUAAUACUAAACAAAGUCAAGUAUUUAGUUUCAAUUAGACCCGGAAGACAUAGCAACCGAUUUCCCACGAGCCAAUAUCAAAACUUCACUUUGAUAUACCUAUUAAAAAAUUCACUUAGUCAAGUCUUAAAAACUUCACUUAGCCAAGCAUUACUAAAUUCACCAAUAUACCUAUUAAAAUUUCACUUCUUCGCGGUUCACAAUGUCGCACUAUAAGAAUAAAAUUUUCAUAUAUCAAGGUUACAGAAAUUUAAAAGUCUUAGAUUCAAAUCUCCCUUCUCGUUCUCCGCUUCUUAAAUUCUAUCAUACAAAAAUAGAAAUUACUCAAUUUAUGUUUAAAAUUUUAUUUUAAGCGUCUUUAAGGAACUUUUUUUAAAAAAAAAACAUUCUUCUUCAUUCUACGGAGAUCACAUUAUUGGUUAAAUUUUGACAAAUUGGCAUCGGCUGGAUUUAGAAACACAACUGAAUUAAAUCCAUGUUAAAUGGCUUUUGCUAAUAGAUUAGCAGAUAAUAGUAGUAGUAGUAUCAUUUCGAUUCUGCUUGGCAAUCUUUACGGUUGUUCUUACUCAUUCAUUGGCAUAUUUGUUCUCCAUUUGCCUUAAUUUGUUUUCCAAAUCAGAAUUAUGAGCGCAAAUGACUACAGCUUCAAUUCCCGCGCGGGUCCAUGAAACCCUCGGACUACAGUUUCGACCUGUACGGAUUCUUGAGUGGAGCGGUAAAUUUAACAGUAACAGAUGCCGGGCUCCCUUCAGACCGCUUUUACGUCACCACGUCAGCGAGCGCAUUCCUGUCUUCCGUUAAAUCAAUUAAUCCGUACUCCUUACCAAUGGAUUGCUGCAAAGUACAAACCCAUUAUUACCAUUUUGUAGGAAUUUUUGUAAAAGCAGAUGAAAACAGUUGCUGGUAUCCAUCAAUUUUAAUAUUUUAUAUAUUUAAAUCACAAUCUCCAAUGGAGUUGAUGCUUCAUUUCCAUUUCCAUUGUGGUCCUACAAAUUUACAACGUCAGUCGAGGUGCAAUCAAAGCUGGAUAUGUACAACUUACCUACCACAGUUUUGUUUCAUUCCCGGGUCCCGUUAGUCAAUCACAUGCACUGCAACAAGUGUUUGCGUCGCUGGCAAAGAGCUUUAUUUGAAAUAAUUAAUAUAUAAAUUUUUGUGAUAUGAUAUAUAUGAGAUAAAAAGAUAAAUUAAAUAUAUAUCAUGAUAUAAGUAAAAUUUUAUUUGCCCCUGGGACAAGUCGGCUGGCUAUGGUAACAACCUCAUCGGCCCCAGGUCGUGUGGUCGAUCUAGGCUCUAUACUGCUUCGGGUCUCUUGGGGGGGGGGGGGGGGGGGCUCAAGAUGCAGUGGGAUUUGUCAUGAUGAUAUUCGGAUACCCAUUGUAUUGACAAAAAAAAAAAAAGAAGUAAACUCUUAUUUAAAAAAAUAAGAUAUCCAAACACAGUCUUAAUUCCACCAUGGGUUUGUUUAGCUUCGGUUGUUGGUUCUUAAUAGUUAAUCAAAUAGUGGAGUGGAGAUUUCCCCUUCACAAAUUUGUACGGAGGGGUAGGUAAGCUCGAUCAGCUUGCUGUUGCUGAGUUUAAUCUUUAUGCAUGACAUAUGAUUUUCUGUUACGAUUAAUAAAAGAAGUUUAUUUCCCUAAAAAAAUCCUAAUCAAAUAGAGGCCUCGUGAUGGUUCACCCGGAUUUGCCUGGUUACUUAAUAUUAACAAAGUAUUCGUUAAAGGGAUUAUCUAAGUGAAUGACAAUAUUGAAUUGCGUUUGAUAAAAUUGGACACUGAAAUCUGAAAUCUGAAAUAUAAAUUCGUUAAAUUAUUGAAUUGUUAAGUACUAAAUAUGAUUCAUUUGACCAUAUUUCACAUUAAGUGAUAAGUGAAUAGUUCAUCACUUAUUUUUUGGAACAAAUUUUAUUUAAAAAAUUCAGUGCUACAUAAUUAAUUCUGAGUACUGCAUUUUCAAAAUUGUAACCUUCCCAUGGCAUAUAAACUACUAAUACGGUUUUUCCUAACAAGUGCUAAAAGGCUUUGAUCGUCUUCCCCGUUAAGAUAGGUCAAUUCACGCCAUUUUUAUAGGCAAACUCUGUAGUUGUAAGUACUUAUUAUUCUUCCUUGCUCUCUUCUGUCCGUAAUGUUCAGAUGGCUUUUGUCUUUUGAGUUCUUCCUGUUUUUGUUUGCUAGUUCCUAUGGAAGGCACGAAAUGCAUAUUUCUUUGAAGAUAAGCAGAUUCCUUUGCCAGUGAUUUGUGAUCAAAUUUCUUUCUGAUUCCUAGAUCAAUUCACAUCAUUUUUAUAAGCAAACUUUGCAGUUGUAAGAACUUAUUAUUCCCCCUUGCUCUUUUCAGUCCGUAAUGUUUAGAUAGCUUGUCUUUCAAGUUCUUCUUGUUUUUGUUUGUAAGUUCCUUUGGAAGGUAUGAAAUGCAUAUUUCUUUGUCGGUGAUUUGUAAUCAAAUUCCUAGGUCAAUUCACAUCGUUUUUAAAGGCAAACUCUGCAGUUGUAAGAACUUAUUAUUAGGGAUGGCAAUGGGACAGUGGUUGCAGACACCAGCCCGCUCGUCCCGUGGGGGACUAAUGGGGUGGGGGGGGGGAAUCUUUCCCCUCGUUUAGAAACGGGACAGGGGACGGGGGAGUAUACCUCUGCCCCAUCACCCGCUAAAAAAAAAUAUAUGUAUAUAAUUAUAUAUAUAAUAUUUAAUUUAAUUAGUUAUAAACUCAUGAUAAUGAUAUUAUUAGUUAUAUAUAUUAUAUAAUGUAUAUUAGUAUAUGUAAUAUAAUUGAUAUUAUCAAUUAUACUAAUAAUUAUAUAUGUUUACUAAUAUAAAUUAUUAAUUAGUUAUACUAAAUUUACUAAUACAUUUAUACUAAAUUCCUAAUUAUACUUAAUACAAUAGCACUUUUUUCUCAAAAAAAAAACACAAGUAUAAUAAUGAAUUAGUGAUUGUAUUUGUGCCAAAAGUGAAAAUUUGACUACUUUAAUUGUAUUUAUUUCAUCAUGUUGGAUUGUAUUCAAAUAAUUUUUGUUUAAUUGUUUUGUGAGUUUCAAUUGUGAAAUUACAAUUAAUAAUAACUUGGUGAUGUGUUGAUAUUUUAAUACUUGAUUAUUUGCUAAAAUUUAACUAUAAUAAAAUUAUAUAACAAAUUUUUAUUAACCCCGCGGACGCCCCCGCGGAGGAAGCGGGGCGGGGAAGCCGCCCCAUUGCCAUCCUUACUUAUUAUUCUCCCUCAUUCUCUUCAGUCCGUAAUGUUUAGACAACUUUUGUCUUUCAAGUUCUUCAUAUUUUUGUUUGUAAGUUCAUAUGGAAGGCAUGAAAUGCAUAUUUCUUUGAGGGUAAGCAGAUUUCUUUGUCAGUGAUUUGUAAUCAGAUUCCUAGGUCAAAUCACAUCGUUUUUAUAGGCAUACUCUACCGUUGUAAGAACUUAUUAUUCCCCUUUGAUCUCUUUAGUUCGUAAUUUUUAGAUAGCUUUUGUCUUUCGAGUUCUUCCUGUUUUUGUUUGCUAGUUUUUAUGGAAGGCAUGAAAUGCAUAUUUCUUUGAGGGUAAGUAGAUUCAUUAGUGGGUGAUUGAUUUGUGAUCUGAUUCCUAGGUCAAAUCACAUCGUUUUUAUAGGCAAACUCUACCAUUGUAAGAACUUAUUAUUCCCCCUUGCUCUCUUCAAUCCGUAAUGUUUAGAUAGCUUUUGUCUUUUGAGUUCUUCCUGCUUUUGUUUGCUAGUUUCUAUGGAAGGCACAAAAUGCAUAUUUCUUUGAGGGUAAGCAGAUUUCUUUGUUGGUGAUUUGUGAUAGAUUUUUAGUUCAGUUUUUAAUAGUUUUUCGCUUCAAUUUAAGGGCUUAAGUUACAAUUUCUCUUCUUGGCCUCAUUUUUUUGCGAAGUAUCUCUAUUUUAUCUGGAUCUAUUAAGUUAUUGAAUUGCUAAAUACUAAAUAUAAUACAUUUGAAUAUAUUUCAUAUUAAGUGAUAAGUGAAUAGUUCAUCAUUUAUUUUUUAGAAUAAAUAUUGUCUAAGAGAUUCAGUGCCACUUAAUUAAUUCAGAUGUUCGAUUUUUUAUUAUCAAACAGUCUGAACAUAUUAAGAUCUUAAUUCAUUAAAUUUAAGUGUUGAAUUGAAUUAUCAAACAACAAAUCUGAUUGACAAUAUUGAAAACUAAAGCCCUGUUUGAUAACCUAAUUCAGCACUUAAAUUUAAUGGAUUCAGAUCUUAAUAUGUUAAAACGCAUUUGAUAACAAAAAAUUGAACAUUUGAAUUAAUUAACUGCUACUGAAUUUUUUAGACAAAACUUGAUCCCAAAAAAAUGUGAUAUACAUUCAAAUGUAUUUGAUUUAAUAAUUAAUAAUUUAAUAAGUUAAUGAAUUCAGACUUCAAAUUUUAGAUUUCACAUUUCAGUAUUCAAAUUUCAAUUUUAUCCGGCGCAUCGUAAGUUUGAUUCAGAACCUUCGUCUAUCGACAAGGGAUAACCAUGUUUUUUUUCUUUUCUUUGUUUGUCAGUUUCCUGUUUACGGAAAAAAAGCUAACUAAAACGUAUCCCAGUGGAUUGGUAUUCUAAUUUUGAUUUUUCAAAGGAGCAAACUUCAAAAUUAACCACAACUCCAUGGUUAUAGAAAUAAACUUCAAAUUAAACCAUAAUUGCUUACUAACAAACCCUCCUUACAAAGUAAUUGAUAUACAUGACGAGACUGUAUCAUGAUUGACAUUACAGGAUUGAGGCAAUAUCAAAUCAUAUCACUAAGAAUGGUAUAGAUAACGAGAUUAUAUUAUCUGCAAAGGAAGUUAUUAAAAAAAAUCCUCAUCAUGUAUAACAAGGAUCGAUGAUAAGGACAAUUUGAGAGAGCGCUAUAACCGUGGAAAACCUCUAGGGAGGAAAAAUCUGUUCCAAUUUCCAAGCUCUCUAUUACACCAUUCCCGUUGUAAUGAUCAGCAUACUAGCUAAGUGAUAUCCACCUCUUCUUUUUCUUUUUCUUUUUGUUUUUUUCCCCUUAUAACAGGUGAAUAAUAAAUAGAAAACAGAGUAAAGAAAAGUGCCCGACAUAGAAUUCUCCUUCAGAUUACGUUUCGUGAAAUCAUUUAAUUUCAGUUCUGACAAACGAACGAAAGGAGGUGGAAUUUCAUUUUUUUAUGAGGGUCGAUCCCUGAGAUCUGAUAAAAGAAAGGUGCAUUAGCCGUUAAUAUGUACUUACUCCUAAUAAAUUAUUCAUGAAACAAGAUGCGCAUUUCCCUCAAGUAAUUUUUAUUGUUCAAAAUACACUCAAGUAAAAAUGCUGUCCAGUUUGGUCAGUGCCAUUCUCAUUUAUUGAACCCAACAAAUAAAAAAAGGUAUUAUUCUGAUGGUGGAAAGUAGUCAAGCCACAUGCACCUUGAUUUUGAUGCUGCAAUAAUUGUCAACUAGAGAUUUUAUUUCGGAAAUUCUACUAUCCUUUUUGAAUACUAUACUCACGAUUGUAAUAUAAUAACCCUUGUCAAAUUAUUCAAUAGUUUAAACUUUUAAAAUGAUUUAAUAGAUAAUAUUUCAUUUUUUAACAUAUCCAAUGAUAAACUAAUACUCAUUAAUACUACCCUUUAUUUUGAUACGAGUGCAUUAACUACUUAAUUCCUAUAUCUAAAAAUAUUCAUCCCUUAUUCUAUAAAUACUCGGAAAGAAUUCAAAUUUUUCAUACUCUGACAUCUAAUUUCACCAAAUAAUGGGUAGCAUGAUAAUGAGACCUCCAAUCUUCUUUAACCAGUAGUUCUCGAUGCAUAUGUAUAACUCCCAUUUGAAUGUUAUUGAUAUAUUUUUAACGUUUAUAAAAAAACUUGGAAAAUCUAGAAGGAAAUCCUGAAUUAACAAUGGUGCACUCAUGUCGCGUGCGUUCGAAUGAUAACAUGGAAGUUCUUGACGUCGAUUAUUUUCUGAACCUCACCACACGAAAGUUCGUCCCACCACCUAAGAAAGCAACAAUUACUCCCCACUACAAUUUGACGUGCUUCCCAUCUUCUUGCUCUUCUAAUCUAAUUUUCUUGUCCACAAUUAGAAAAUGCACUCCUAGCAAAUGAGAGAAGGAAAUAAAAAUAAGAAAAGAAGAAAGGAAGCAAGGCAGAGAGUAUUAAUCUGAUGCAGGAAAUACAUCACUCCGGUGAUGAAUUUUAGAGCAAGAUGAUAACUGUACUGCACCAAACUCAUUACCAACGAUCAUGUAUCGAGCAUUUCAGCAUCAAGAAAAGGUAUAGAACAAAAGAAUCAGAUUAAAUUUAGGGUUGAAAAUUUUAUUAGAUGUUGCUAGUAGGUAGCAGCAGUCACGAGGCCCCUCCAUUUUGAAGCAUAUAUGGGAAGACUAACAUAUGGGGCUGAAAAUUACUUUAAUUUUGGGCUGAAUUUUCCAUCAAAUCUUGCUAAUUGCUCUGUGGGUGUCAACACUGGUAGUGGAAAACGGAGCCAGAGCUUAAACUUUGGGAGGCAAGAUUAAUAAAGAUGUGAAUUUAAGAAGACACCUUUAUGUAUUUUAAAAACUUUAGGGGAUAAACUCUAAUGUUUACAUCGAAAAUUUUUAACGGGAUGUUGAAAGAUUCAAAAAAACUUUUGGGGGGAGGGGGGCAAAAUAUAAUAUCUAUUAGAAUAUCAGUAAAAUUUUUGUAUUAUUUUAAAUGGCUGCAAAAUAAUUUUUGGAAUCUUUGGGAGGCCCUCUCCGCCCUCCAUUCGUCAAUCAGGGAGCAACAGCUCAACAAAAAGGAAGAAAGCAAAAAAAAAAAAAAAAAAGUAGCAGCACACUGCAUGAAUCCCGUCCCCUUUGAAAUUGUUUUCAAUAAUUACUCAAGCGAUUACUGUUUAAGAUUUGAACAAAUUACUACUUAAGAUAACAUUUGUAGCAAUUUUCAUGUUCGAGGUAAUUACUGAGCAUGCAUGAUUGGAUCUUGAAUUUCUGGGAAUCAUGCUAUUUACCUAUGUUGGACAAAGUUGGGAAGAUGAACAUUAUGAUAAGAAUAAAGAGAAAAAAAAGGGGAGAUAGAAAAGUGAGGUGACAGCUAAACAUGUUUGGACUACAUAUUAUUUACACACGUUAAUUUACUUGUAUAAUCAACAUAUUUUUCAAUUAUCUUUUUAUCUUAUAUAUAAUACAUCAAAAAGUGACAGCUCCUUCUUCUUCCUCUCUUUUUUUUUUUUUCUAUUUAUUUUUGGUUUCGGGAGUUUGAGAGAAAAGAUGAGCAAGGAUUAUGUGUACUUAAAAUCUACAAGUUCACUUCCCGACUUAUAAAUCUUUUAAAUUUUCUCUCUAAAAGAAAAUCUAUUAUUGUUCCCAAGUAGAAAGGUGACAAGGAUGGCAUUUUGACUAUGCUUUGUUUGGAUUGCCAUUGUUUUCCCAAAAUUUUUAUAUUUUCCGUAAACUCAUAUUUUAAUCACAUUUUUAUCUCAUAUAAAUUAAAUUGUUAUAGUAAAUUUGUUUAUAAAAAUCUUAGAGAAUAGCAGUCAAAUGGACACACAAGCAGCGAUUUAAUGUAUCUAAGGUAAAAAUAUGAUUAAAACAGGAAGGCGGUAGGUAGGAAAUUUUCUUUUUUCUUUUUCCUUUUUCCCGUUACGUGAAAGGAGAAACUUUUACCAUUUUGUUGAAAACUUUCCAUUGAGGAAGAUUAACGGUAGGCAUUAGUCACUCUCCAUGCUUGUCAAAACAUAAAUUAAAAAAGAAAAAGAAAGACUUUCUAAACAACUCAAAUGUGGUAUGGAAACAAAGAAGUUUCAACGAUGCAUGCACCCGACACGUUUGUAUUUUGGGGCCAUUUCUCCUAUAAAAUCCCCUUCUUCGUAAUACUCAAGUAGAAGCUCAAUUUUCAGCUUUCCUAGAGAACCAUCGUUCGCUCUUCUCUCAAACUCCAGUUUGAUCAGCAACCAACUGGUAGCCUCAGAGAGAGAGAGAGAGAUUUACACACACAAUACACACUGAGAAAUGGCGUCAUAUGGUGUUCUCCCAAGGGCCAAUUUCCUCCCGUUGCUCUAUCCUCAAGAUGGUCUUUCUUCUUCAAGCCUCUUACCUUCCACCAUUCCUUGUAUUCCCAGCAACAAGCGAAAGGUACCCUUCCUUCCUCCCUCCCUCGCACGCACGCGGGCGCGCACGCACAAAUGUACGAGUGUUAUAUAGUGUACAGUGUGCUUGAUAGCUUAAGUAAAUCUUGGCACUUCCAUUUUGCAGUUCUCUGGGGUUGUAGCUGUUCACCAGGAAAAUGAAGCUAGUGAUGAAAGCGAUGUCCUAGUGAAGACAAGGCAGGAUGGACAGCAGAAGAGAAUCCUCAAUUUCUCUGGGGCGAAGCCUAAGACUCCAAUUCUGGAUACCAUUAAUUACCCCGUUCACAUGAAGAAUCUUUCAGUUGAGGUGAGUUUGGCGAUGGUUGUUAAACUUUUUUUUGCCUUUUUGGGAUAAAAUACACUUUAGCCCCCUAUGGUUUCUUAAUUUUUCACCAACCUCCCUAUAGUUUCAAAAGCUAUAUAUAACCCCCUCAUAAUUUGGAUUAAAGUGUCAAAAUGACGGAAAUGAUCAUUUAUAACGGAACCCAUGAAGAAGAUAUCGAAAUUACCCUUGUUUAAAAGUUAAAAUGGCUAAAGUCACCAAAAUAUAUAAACAUAAUAUGUAUGACACUCUAACCCCGUAUAGUUUUAUAUUUUACUAUAUAACCCCUUAUAUUUUACCCGUAUGAUAUUAUAUUUUACCAUAUAACCCCUUAUGUAUAGCUUUUGAAAUUAUGGGGAGUUAUGUGAAAAAUGCUAUACCACAGGGGUGUAAAUAAAGUGUAUUUUACCCUUUUUUUGUGUGUACUGUAUUAUAUAUGAUGAUUCGCAACUUAAGAAAAAUUAAAGUACUAAAUAGUAAUAAUAUUGCUUCAGAUAUUAUAUCAACUUUCACGCUUACUACCACUUCGCCAAAUUCUCAGAAAAAUAAUUGGUCCAGGAGAAGAGUCCAAAUCAUGAUUUUAAGAGAAAACACAAAAGAUUCCGAAAGCAAAAUAUGAUAGUACAACACGUAAAUCACGUCUUGAAGAUAGCCCACAAUUAAUGUCUCUCUCUCUCUCUCUAUUUUUUUUGGAUUCGAUAUCACAUAAAUCACGUUUUUCCCUAUUUUCUGAUUCCACAUGCCGCAGUGGAAUUUUCAACUUUUAAGUACGUUAAUUUUUGUUCUCUAAGAAUAACCCCCGCAAUUAAUUUUUGUUUUUAUGAUUAUCUAUACGCGUAGGAGCUUGAAAAAUUAGCUGAUGAACUCCGGGAAGAGAUCGUGUAUACGGUGUCCAAGAUUGGCGGCCAUCUUAGUGCAAGCCUGGGUGUUGCAGAACUUACUGUUGCACUUCACCAUGUAUUCAACACUCCUGACGACAAAAUCAUCUGGGACGUCGGUCACCAGGUCAUUAUAUUACAUUAUUCAGUAUAAUCAAUUUUUUCUUUUAAAUUUUUUACGCAAAUUUUAAAUAUUUCAUUACAGCAGAUAUAUGAUUGAAAUCUGAGUGGGAAAAUUUAUUUUUUUUUUGGGGGUGAUUUUGCAGACAUACCCACACAAAAUCUUGACGGGUAGGAGGUCAAGAAUGCAUACAAUUCGACAGACCUUCGGACUUGCCGGAUUUCCCAAAAGGGAUGAAAGCGCGCAUGAUGCAUUUGGGGCUGGCCAUAGUUCAACAAGUAUUUCAGCUGGCUUAGGUAAAACCCAAAAAAGGGGGAAAAAAAAAGGGUCCAUUUUUCCUUCCGUCUUUAGUAGAUACUGAACUUUUUUAUCUUCCCAAGAACGUAUCUAAGGAAUAGACUAGACCUGUUGAUAAGGAAUAGACUUGUCAGUUUUGGAUAGGAGAUUAUGUAGAAAAUUUUAUUUCAAAUAACACGUAGAUAAAAAUGUGAUUAAAAAUUGUGUUUAUAAUGCAAGUUAAAUAAUAUUUAUAUUUAUUUAUUUUUUUCAAAUCAUGCUAACCAAAAAGAAAACUUUCCUCAAUUUUAUAACAGUAAAACACCAUAAAACACUUUUACAUAAGCUUUAAGUAGCCGUAAAAAUUAUUUAUCUUUGUACAAUUAACGCAACGGUAAAGCUAAAGAUAAUAAUAUUGGUGACUGUGAGUGAAAUGGCGGUCCACACUGAUGGCCUUCGGUUUAGAGUAAAACUUGAAACUAAUAAUGUUAGUGAAAGAAUCUCCAACAUGUGGAGUUUGAUCAAAUGGCUCUUCCACAUGGGACGGGGCCCGAGAGAUGGGGCGAAUUGUACGCUGCAGCCUGGUAAAUGUCUGCCUCAGCGUGCUUGACAUACUCUAGAUCACAGGAUCUAUGUACAGACAUAGAUAGAUUUUUGUGUAUAUAACAAACCCAAGCAUUAUUAAAUUUAGUUGAGUUGCAUACAAGGUUGGCUAAACCGGAAAAGUUUAGAUACAAGCCAACGGACCAUUCCACAUUGGCCACCAUUAUAGACUUUUAAAUUUUGGUGGGCGUGAGGUCAAGAUUCAAAUCUUGUCUUUCAUUACUGUGUCACUAUAUGUAAUUUCUCAAAAUCUAUACUGAUGAAUAAUGCACCAAUCUGAUCCGAUAAUAGUUCCUCGUUGGUUCCCCAAUUGAUUCAGUUGAAACUCCCCUGCCCUUAGCAUAGGCUAGAAUAAGAGUAAGGUAGAAGCAGAAUAGAAUAGAUGUUACCGUUUGACAAAAAAAAAAAAAGUUUGAAUACAAGGAUCUGUAAGAGAAAUUUAUACUUAGUCUAUCUGUUACUUGUCUCUUGUUGAUAGGUGAUUAACAAAUACGUGUCAUUGAAGACUCGUACAUAGAAGAAAUGACUAGCCAUUAACUUAGAAAGACUUUUUCUAGUAUGUGCCUUAAAAGCACAAAGUACACCAAAAAAUAAAAAAGAAAAAAAAGAGGGUAUGCCCAUAAUAAACUCUUAUUAUUUCUAUCUCUUAAUAUGCCUUUUGCAUUGAAAUUUUAAUAUUUUGGACAUCUAAAGUAGCCGGUCCUACCUUUUUGUCCUGAACUUUUAGGGCGCAUGAUAGAAGAAAUAGGAACUGUAUCUAUCUUUCCUAAACGCAUUACUGUCAUUUAAUUGUCAAAUAUGGACCUUUCACUGUCCCAUUUCGGACCUGUGACUGUGAGUCUUGUGGUCCCUCCUAACUUAUCAAAACUUGGCACGGGCAAAAGUUUUGCGAAGAUUUGUAUAUCACUAGAAACGUCCUUACAAUUAUUAUUGCAGUGAUAAAAGCGACAAUGAACGCACAAUUAAUAAAAAGUAGGGUGCAAUUAACAUUCUCAAAUGAUCUAGACUGCUGGCCCACUUGCCAGACAAUGAAUGGGUCACUACACACCAAGGGGAACCUGAGCAGUUGGGCUCUGCUACUUUUAGGCCCAAGGCCAAGCUUGUCAGCGCUUUUGACUUCCGGCAAAAUCGAUUGAUUACAAGUCUUGUCUAAAAUUGCUGUUGAAUUAUAUGCAGGAAUGGCCGUUGGAAGAGAUCUGGUUGGGAAGGACAAUCAUGUAAUAUCAGUGAUUGGAGAUGGAGCCAUGACAGCAGGACAGGCAUACGAAGCAAUGAACAAUGCAGGCUUUCUUGAUUCGAAUCUCAUUAUAAUCUUGAACGACAACAAACAAGUCUCCCUCCCCACAGCCACUCUUGAUGGUCCUGCCCCUCCUGUUGGAGCUUUGAGCAAGGCCUUAACAAAGCUGCAAUCAAGCAGAAAAUUUCGCCAACUUCGCGAAGCAGCAAAAGUAAGUAGUAAUUAAUCAAUUUCCUCAACCUCGCUGCUCUUGAAUGGCACAAAAAGAAAAAAAAAAAGAAUUUAUUCAUUGAAUUGUGAUCAUUUAUAGGGGGUGACAAAGCAACUAGGCGGCAAAACUCAUGAACUUGCAGCCAAAGUCGAUAGUGCCGUUAGGGGAAUGGUUAGUGGCUCAGGGGCUCCUCUAUUUGAAGAAUUGGGACUAUAUUACAUUGGUCCAGUCGAUGGCCACAAUAUGGAGGACCUUGUGCACAUUUUCAAGAAGGUGAAGUCUAUGCCUGCACCAGGACCGGUCCUUAUUCACAUCAUUACAGAAAAAGGAAAAGGAUACACUCCUGCAGAAGUAGCUGCAGAUAAAAUGCAUGGUAAUAUGCACAUUUUGUUUCAUAAUUUGGAAAAAUUGCUUAAAAAGCAUAGGGCUAAUCAGUUCCUCCUUUUCUUUUCCCCCCCUUCUGUGGUUUUCCUGCAGGAGUUGUGAAAUUUGAUCCUCAAACUGGAAAACAAUUCAAGUCAAGUUCAAAGACAAAAGCAUAUACUACAUACUUUGCAGAGUCUCUGGUAGCAGAAGCAGAGCAAGAUGAAAAGAUAGUAGCUAUUCAUGCUGCCAUGGGAGGUGGUACCGGUCUCAAUAUAUUCCAGAAACGCUUUCCUGAACGAUGUUUUGAUGUUGGGAUCGCAGAGCAGCAUGCUGUUACUUUUGCUGCUGGUUUAGCUACAGAAGGGCUCAAGCCCUUUUGUGCUAUCUACUCAUCUUUCCUGCAGAGGGGUUACGAUCAGGUAAAAUGGCCUAACCUCAUUACUAGUUGCUAAAAUGGAAAAUGUGCACAUUCAAUAGAAAUUCUAAUACUGGAGAUUGUGCAGGUGGUUCACGAUGUAGACCUUCAAAAACUUCCUGUGAGGUUUGCUAUGGAUAGAGCUGGACUUGUAGGCGCAGACGGUCCGACACAUUGUGGGGCAUUUGACACCACUUAUAUGGCUUGUCUGCCUAAUAUGGUUGUCAUGGCACCAGCGGAUGAGGCGGAACUAAUGCACAUGAUUGCAACUGCUGCAGUUAUUGAUGACAGGCCUAGUUGCUUUAGGUACCCAAGAGGAAAUGGCAUUGGUGCGGUACUUCCGCCCAAUAACAAAGGAACUCCACUGGAGGUAGUUUGCAAUAUCUGAAACUUCUGAGAACCCCUUUUUCGUUUGUCAUAUAUAUACACACAUGCAUUUAUUUUUGAAUCCAAUGCUAAAACAAAUUUCAAAAUCAGAUUGGCAAGGGAAGGAUAUUGAGGGAAGGAACCAGGGUAGCCAUUUUGGGUUAUGGAACGAUGGUGCAAAACUGUUUAGCUGCUGCUCAGGUUCUUCAAGCCGUUGGAGUAUCAGCCACUGUUGCUGAUGCGCGAUUCUGCAAGCCUCUGGAUGGAAAAUUGAUCCGAGAACUUGUUCAGGAGCAUGAAGUCCUCCUCACUGUUGAAGAAGGAUCUAUUGGAGGAUUUGGAUCUCACGUCUCACACUUUUUGGGCUUGAACGGUUUACUAGAUGGAAAUCUAAAGGUACUGUUUCAUUACACAUUACCAUUCAGGCAUUUACCACCAAUGUUUCCUUCUCCCAAUCCCAGUGCACUGAUUGAUUUUGAUCCAAUAAUCCUAGUUAUGAUCUAAAAUAGAUUUCUUGACUCAUUUCUUCUUAUUUUAGUGGAGGGCUAUGAUGCUUCCUGACAGAUAUAUCGACCACGGGGCUCCAGCUGACCAGAUUGAAGAAGCCGGGCUCACCCCAAAGCACAUUGCAGCCACUGUUCUAUCUCUAAUUGGUGAGCACAAGGAGAGUCUGCACCUCAUCGACAUAUAAUCGGAUAAAUGUGCGCAUGACAUGGCUGAUUUCAGAGGAGAGGCCAAAUCUGAUUUACAAUUUGUCGCCAUUUCUUCAAUUCUCGUGUGCUGUAAAUAAAGAAAUUGAUGGGAAUAGCGGAUGCAUGUGAUGACAAGAGAGAACGAUCGAACUUCUCCUGUACCUAUCAAAUGGAUGCUGUAAAGUGCUUGCAUUUCGAGAAAUAAUAUACAGUCGAAAUCAGAUUGCAUGAAAGUAGCAUAUUGUCUUCCCUCCGUGGCUUCUUUAAAGCUUGGUACAUAGUUUGAAUGUAGAUGAAGCUUUUAGUUUCACAAGAAAGUGUAACAAAAAAAAAAAAAAAUCAUCAUCAUCAUGAUGCUUCAAAAUGCGUCUAAAUUCUGAAAUCAUAGUUCCCCAAGUCAUGUCAUUUGUAGAUCACCACAGACAAAAAGCUUGUUAAGUUAAUUCGAUGAAUAAUUCCAUUGUUAGACACUCAAAUCCUUGCAGUCGUCACACUCCACGCUUGAACUGAACUCUGAUUGGGGACAAAUCAGAAUUGUCUUGUGUUUUGGAUGGGAACGUUGCACCUCCCGAGUACGAGGUAGCUACAUCAAGUGCAACAUUGUCGUCCAAUUCUGAGGAUAUGGCGGUGAAAAAGGUGAAAUUAGAACUAUGACGUCCAAUAGGAACACAAUAUUGGGGGUGCAAAGUGUCACACAAGCAAUGGCUACUGCACGUUUCCAUAUGAUAAUCAUUUUAGUAAAAGACCAACAUUCUUUUUUAACUUUGUUUUUCCAAAUUAGAUAGGGUGCAUUAGUGCAUUGCAGACUGUAAAGCUCCCAAAUUUUCCAUGCCGAGUUGAAAAACCUGCUUCGCUUGAGAAUCCAACACACCAACACAAUGAGUGCGUUUGGAUAGAAUUAUUUGUUAAAAAAUUAUUUAUUUACGUCAUAAAACACAUCUUUCAAUAUAUCUUUUUUAUUUUUUUUAAUUUUUUUUUAUAUCACAUAUAUCAUAUCUUUUUUUUUUAAAAAAAAAAAAUACUGCCCCAAAUAAUCUUCUGUUCAAAAACACCCAAUUAUUGGAGAUCCCACAAAAGCAAGAUGUGGAAAUGUAGCGGUAGGCCACUAUUGAGGCCCAAGGAUACCAUGCUUUUCUUGGACUAUCACUCCGUGUCUUGUUCCCUUGGUGUUUAAGUUUUCUAAGGCCAGGCCUAAUAGGCUGAUCAUCCUCCCGUGAAAGCCUAGAGCCUAGUUCCAUAGACUGAUUUUAUGACCGAGUGUAAAGUUGUAGCUUGUGGCAACGGGCAACGGGUCUUGACGAAUUGAACAAAAGAAUGCCACCACAAAUCCACUUGGGUACAACACUUCAAAUUUCUUCCUACCGAGUCCUAGUGGCGCUAAGGAUUGGGGCGCAACGGAUCUUCUGUCCCACAACCUGUGCCACUCUCUGUCCCACUUUUUAUUAUAUUGCUAUUUCUCCUACAUAAAUAUCAUGUUUUAGUUCUUUUUUGUUUCCUUAAGAUCCAAUAACUAUUAAUUGAGUAAAAAAUAAAUACAGCAGUUUCAAAAAAGUAAUAUAUAAUAGAAAAUUAAAAAAUACAGCAGAAAAUUCAUAAAAAAUCUCAUUUUUUAUGCAUUUUGAUUUUUUGAGUAUGUUAAAUUUUGUGUAUAACUCAAUUAAUAGUUAUUGGAUCUUAAGAAAACAAAAAAGAACUAAAACAUGAUAUUUAUGUAGGAGAAAUAGUAAUAUAAUAAAAAGUGGGACAGAGAGUGGCACAGGGUGUGGGACAGAAGAUCCGUUGCGGGAUUGGGGUCUCCUCUCCCGGGUCGCAGGGGAUUAGUCGGGCCCCGUAAGGAUUGAUCCGGACACCCCUGUGUCGACAAAAAAAAAAAAAAAAAAAAAGAGUCCUAGUGGCACUAAAAACAUAUCAGUAUGGUUUUUAUACAUAUCAGUGUAAAAAUUUUUUUUAACACUAGUAGGCAAAUUUAGAUCAUGCCACGUAAAAUGAAUUCAAAUUUAAAAUUCAAGUUAUGCAAUGUGUCAUGCAUUCAUAACUGCUAGCAUAAAAAAAAAACUACAUUAUCAGUGCAUAAAAAGUUAAUUCAAAACAUUUAUUAGAACUGAAGUAGUGAACUAGUACAGGGGUUUAGUUGGAAAUGUGGAUAUGAUAUUCAUUUUUCGCAAUUAAAAUGGUGAAGUCUAAGAAGGAGGAGGCCCGAGAGUGUAUUAUUGAGUCUCAUUUUUCAAACCCACCAGGAGUGAUCCAUUUUAUCCAAGAGGUAGACAAGACACGGCUUUGCCUUUAUGAACUCUCUUCAUGUCUUGGGUUCGUGAGACAUAUACAGCAUGGCAGGUUAUCGAAUGGCAGGACAUUAAGAGGUUUUGAUGAAAAUACAUGGAGUAGUUUACAAUUCCCCGACUCUCUUAAUAUCCAAAGAAGGACAAAAAAUAAUAAUAAGUGCUUCCCAGUAGACACUUAGCUGUACAGAGCUUCGGCCUCCACUAGGCACAGAUGUAUGCAUCAAAAAUUCAUUUCGAUAAGUAGAUGUUUAAAUAUUGUAUUUUUAAAAGAUUGAAAAUUAUUAGGAAAUAUUCCACUGCCUUGCCUUUUGUUAUAUUAGGUUUGUAAGAGUAAAAUGGAGCUGAAAAAUGUAAAAGAUGUAUCAGGAGAAUUUGGAGAAAUUUACCAUGAAACGAAAACGAAAAAUUACCCACUGGACUACCAAGCCCAACAUAGAAGUGAAAUCUUGAUUGUAGUUCAAUCCAAUAGCAUAAUUCAUUUAGUUGUUCAUAUUGAUUGUGCACUUUUGCUAUCAUGAUUUUUUUGAUAAAUUAGUAAUUUCCUCGUUACCCCUACUCCUGUACUAACAUAUUUAAGGGAGGGCCGAAUUGAACUUGUAGAAACUAGAGCAAUGUUUUGAUUGAAAGACUUAUUUCUUUGCACAUUCUGAAUUCAAGACUCGAAUUCUAGAUUCUCUCAAUCUCUAAUUAUUAGACAUAAGAUUCGAAUUCUAAAUCUGAUCGCCACCAGAGUGAACCCCAAUCCCAACGAUUAACUCUGACAUCUACUUAGUCUUUAUUUACCAAAAAAAAAAAAAAAAAAACCAAUACGAAAAAUCUCGAAGCAAUUUCCAUACAAAAAAUCUGGUGCAGGCACAUGGCAUCCUACCACACAUGUUGUGUACAGCAUCACGAUAACAUGUAUAGUGAGAGUCCCCCAGGUCAGGUGAAAUUCCAAGCCUGCCCAUCCUCUUCCACAACCAAACAAACGAAUCCAUUUCCUAGUCCAAAAAACAACCACCACAACAGCAUCAGAUUGCAUAUAAGCAUUUAGUGCAUUGCAGUACAUCGUCGACUCCAACUCCCUGUUUUUCCUUUUCCUCUGCUUAACAGUUUCCACUGGCCAAUGAAUACUCACAGAUUUACGUGACCCGUGUUUUCGCUUUUUCGGAGCAAAAGCCAAAAAUCCACAUUGAAGUCUGGUCCUGAGGGUACAAUUGUCCUUUCAAAACCCCCGUCAGCCCCACGCACCGAGUGACGUAUAUCAAAUAUCAACCAAGAGGUGCAUCGCAUCAUCAAUUUUUUUUGCAAAAAUUUAGCUCACCUAAUUUAGCAAUGCUCUCGUCAUUUUCAAGCAGUUAUGAUUCUCAUGAGCUGUCUUGGCUUCUCCAUUUAGUUCAUCGGCCUCUUCUAAAAAGUCUCAUAUUACUGCGUCCCAGAAUGAUGGUGGCCUCCUCUUGCAUGAGAUGGUCAGAGACGUAUUAAUCGGAAUUAUUGGAUGGUCGGUCUUGUUUUGCAUAUUCAAGGACUUGCCAACAGAAAAGGUAAAGGAAUUUGAAACUUCUAGACUUUGAAGAACAGAUGAUGAUAAUGGCCAAUUCACCCUGCCAACUGGACCACUCCAACUCGCAAGAUUGGCUGGAGUUAGGCAUGGCCACGGUUCCAGAACCGGCGGUUCUGGUUCUUCAAAGAGGUAGAACCAGAACCGCACCAUAUAAGAUGGUUCUGGUUCUGGUUCCAGAACCGGCGGUUCUGGUUCUUCAAAGAGGUAGAACCAGAACCGCAUAGUUCUGAUUUCGAUUCCUUAUGGUUCCGGUUCCGGUUCCGGUUCUGUAUGGUUGUUUCUUUCUUCCGUUGAGAGCCCCCGAGAGCAAAAAUUGAAGAAGCUCCCUUUUUUUCUUCGAAUACAAGCUUUUUCUUUGGAGCCCUUCUUUGCAAUUUUUUCCUCUUGGAUCCGUUGAGAGCUUGGUCAAAAGGUUGUGGUGGAUCAUGAUGAUCAUCAUGAUGUCUCUACUUUUAUUAUUUUUUAUAUUAAUUAUUUUUAAUUUUUUUAACGGUUCUGGAACCGGCGGUUCUGGUUCUGGUUCUAUUUUUUAGAGAACCAGAACCGGAACCUUUAUCCAAGGUUCUACUACGGUUCUGAUUCCACGGUUCUGGUUCCGGUUCUGGUCCGGUUCCAAACGGUCCGGUUCCGGUCCGGUUCCCGGUUCCAAAUGGAACCAUGGCCAUGCCUAGCUGGAGUACUAUAUAUAUAUGUUGCUUCCUAUUUGACCAUGAGAAUUAAGAAUAAUAUCGUUGCAGUUGAAUUUAAUUGAACCCACAUUUCCAUGUUGGGUUUUUGAAGCGAAAUUGCUGUUAUCAUACAUCCUAUGAGAAUAGCUAGUCUUUUUCAUGCAAUUGAAUAAUUGAAAUACUCCACUACUAUUGAUUUUGAUUGGAAUCUUGUCUUGCAAAUUGAAAUCAAUGAUGGAAAUGAACGGGGAAAGAGGGAGGUAGUAUCUAGAAUGAGCUUAAUGUGAAAUCCAUGCACCCCAAAGGUGGCGCUGUCAAGCUAGUUGCUAUCGUGCUUCAAUUCUCUGUUGCUCUAAAGAAAAUGAUGCUAAAUGACGAUUGGGAAGAGCACUUACGUGCAGCUUAAUUCUUAAUUAACAACUGAGCUCUCAACAUUACAAGGUCCCCACCAAUCAAUCAAGUCUACAGUGAAGUCUCACAUUACUUUUUUUUUUUGUCAAUCCAAAGAGUAUCCCAGUUUGGCCAGACUAAUCUCCCUGGACCUGGAGUACCCUGCCUCCCAAGAGCAUCCAGGCGAUAGGAGAGGCCAGACUCGAACCUGCGUCGCAUGACCCAGAGGGCCACUUGACAACCGGCUGAGCUGAUCCCGAGGGGCUAUGAAGUCUCGCAUUACUUAGAAAUGGUUUUAGCAUGGAAUCUUUUGCUUGCUAAGACCUCGUGUUGAAAGAUUUUGCUCAAGAAACAAGCAAGCCCUCUAAGCCAAAGGCAAAGUAUAAUCUUAAUGCAACUGCCCUAAAGGAUUACUAGUAUGUUUCAUUUGAAUGAAAAUUGCUGAGUCUUAUGACAAUAUUGAAUCAGUUAGAAUCCACAUUUGAAGGUGAAGAAGGGUCAGAGCUGAGAAAUUCGCCUGGCAUGACUGCCCAAGUUUAAUUAGUUCCAUUUUCUAAUCCCCCAAGCAGUAGUCAGAAGUCAGAACAUGAUGUCCUUGAAUAAAAAAUGAUACUAUCAAAAGUAAGUUUGAAUAUAAAACAAUACACUUGCCGUCCAUGCCAGGAAAUCUUGUUUCUAAAUGCAAACAAAUAUUGCAUAAAACAGGAAACAUGGUGGGCUGAUAGCUUGGUGGAAAACCAUAUGUGUAUUAUACGAUGGUAUGUCCACUUAAACCAUAAAUUAUGUCUUUCUGUCAACAGUCGUAUGAGUUUAGAGAGAUUUAUUUUGUUUGAAGCAGAUAUUACAGAAUUUUACUUCCUAACUUUUCACGUAUUUGAUGGAUAUAUGAUAGAAUAUUUCAUCAACUGCAUGUUCCUCGAUAAUUCUUUCACUUCUUUAAAGCAAGCACGUAAUGGAGACAGAGAGCGAGAGGGCUCAUGGCUGGGAUUCUGGACUUGUGGUCUGUGCCUUCAGUUUAUUAUUAGUUGAGGAAUACAACAGUUAUCUUUCUAACGAGGCAGCAAAUCUCAAAUUAUACUAAACUGGCAAGCCUCAACUUAAAACCGACUGAUAUUGAUAUGUCAAAAUGGUACUAGAAACAGGCAUGACACGAAAUAAAUGCAACAACUGCGACACAUCAUGUGGGUUGGUAUAUUAGUAGCUGUUAUCGGUAGUAUCUUCACCAUUUUUUCUUUAUUUCUUCCGGCAUCUCAUGGCCUCAAAUUAUUUGAACUAACUCAUUUUGCACCCCUGAACUUAUAUGAUCACUUAUUCACUUUGCAAUCUAAACUUUAAUUUUAAAUAUUUUGCACCCUAAACUUUCGAAUUUUGAAUAUUCGGUAUUCUAAACUCUCAAAUUUGACCCAUUUAAAUCUAAUCAAUGACAACUUUAACAAAAUUAAUGGCAUAGAGAACUCAAUAAAUUAAUGAUAACAUGUCGAAAGUGGUCAAAAGGUGCCACAACAUCAUCAAAAAAUAAAAUAAUACAUUGUCAGUAAUUUGCACAAUCUUUUAUCUCGUUAAUUUUACUAAUAAUGAUUGAAGCCAUAUAAAUCAAUAAUGAUGCGCUAAAGGUGAUAAAAAAAAAGUUGAGGGAUCACAGUUCAUAUAAAACGGUAUAUUAUCAUUAAUUUUUAUCAUCCUUUGUCUCGUUAAUUUUACGAACAUAAUUAUUAAUUUGUUUUAAAUAAGACAAACUUGAGAUUUUUUGGUGCAACGUAACCAAACGUAAGAGUUUAGAAUGCAAAAUAUCCAAAAUAAAAAUUUAUGGUGUAAAGUGAGAAGUGGUGUGAGUUUAGGAAUGCGAAGUGGAAUUAGUCUUUAAUUGAAAUGACUUUUCUUACGAUUAGGAAAUGCAGCGAACCGGUGCAGCAUAGUCAAGGCUCUGUUGUUGUACAUGAGACUAAUAAAACUUAUCUAUGUGCAUAUUGAUCUGUUAUUAUAUACAUAAAUUCAAUACUGAAUACUUACACCAAUUAACUAUUCUCUCUCUCUCUCUCUAUACAUACAUACAUACACAUAUAUAUAUAUAUAUAUAUAUAUAUAUAUAUAUAGGGUUGGUAGCCAAUUUCUCGUGUAAAGUGUCCAAACCUGGCCAAAUUGAAUGGUAAAAUCUAGGGUAUGUCGUAGAAUACUAAGUGGCAACAAGUGAUGCUAUAUUCGUCACAGCGUUUAAAGCAAAUACACGAGUGAAUAAUAAAAAUAAAUUAAAAAAAGAAUUUCAAAGUAAUAAAAGAAGAAGGUGUUAGAGGCCUCCUGACUUAGAAAUACUCGUGAGUUUUAACCCCCUUUCUCUCCCUCCGCUUCUUAAAUUUUGUUUCUCAACUCUUUAACAAAAAAAAUAAAAGGUGUUGAUUUCUGUUUUUAGGUCACCAAAACAUUUAUUUAUUGGCUUUUUGCAAUCAUGACAUUUAUGGUCUGAUACAUUUUUCACAAGCUCUUUGGAUAAAGUCGUGUGAGUGUAUUGAGGCAUCAACCAAUAACAAUCGUCCACUAGGAUGCAAAAUGUCUUGCAUUUACUAUUUAGAGCAUUAAUUUUAAUCCUACAGCAACCAAGUGCUACACACAGUGCUAUACGUCCUUGCCCAAUCCGGGCCGUCCGUAUAAUUGCUGCCCUGCAGCUCUCCAUCAAUGUUUGAUAAGGACUUGGUCAAAUUCACUGAAAACUUUCAUGCCACUUCUCUGCUUUUUCUGGCUUCAACUAAACUCCAGGAGCCAACUUUGUUAAAUUUUUAGGUGCCAAAAAAGACUAAAGUGAACAAACAGGUCUCCCUUCUCGUGAUCUCGCUUAGGUAUUCAGUUACUUUUGCAGCUUCAUCCUGUUGCCCCGUCGCAUUCUGCUUCCCUGCAGCUUCAUCGCAACAGCCUGUCAAACUGUUUGCAGCCCAGAAAUUAAAGACAGGUAUGUGUCCAAGUCUAUAAGAUUUGAGGCCUUAUGUCAAAAUUUUUUUUUUAAAGAAUCUCUUGAAAUGCCUAACUUACUAUUAUUGUUCUUUUUACUGUAGGUGGGAAAUCUUGAAUUUGGAAUUUCUUACUUAUAUUUCUCCCCUCUAUACCACCUAACUCAUCCCUCCUCCGACUAUCGAAUUUAUUCAACAUUAAUAGAGCGUUCGAACUAGUAAUUACUAAGUUCAUAAUUGAGACAAAGCUUAAUAUAUUUGACAUUCAUGGUUGAAGAACAUAUUUCAAAGACAGUCGCACGAAUAAUAUGCUAAAAAAAAAAAAUUUGUUGCGUGAUCAACAGACUUUUAAUAACAUUAUAAUAUUGUUAAUUAAUUUUUUAUCCUACGUAUGUCAUAUCACAAAUAGAGUUAAAAUAUUAUGCUAAAAAGUAUUUCUAAAUAAUCCUCUGUCCAAACGCUUGAAUUGUGCUUUAGGACAGUCGCAAAUAGUUGUGCUGUUUGUACUCGUAAAACCGAGAACAAGGGCACCCUCAAUUAUGUAACGAGGGAAAUUCGUCCAAACAACCCCUUCGAAUCGAUCUCUCCCUCCCAUGUCUUGCGCUUGCCCUCCUUUCUCUCCAGUCUCCCCUGCCCCUCGUUUGGGCCCUACGUCGGCACAGACAAAUUGACAACUACUUAACAUAAAAUAUCACUUCCAUGUCAUGAAAUCUUUUUUGUGGCCAAAAUCAUCUCCACGUGUCAAUUGGGGUCUACCCAACAACAACUAGAUUUCCUUGCCUUCUGCCUAUAGAUUCAGAUAGAUAGAGAUGCCAAAUGUGUUAUUUCAACACACACCACUAACACCCGCCCAGUCAUCAUUAUUGGAGACACUCCCAGCAAAAUUCCAUUGGCCUUUCAGACAAUAAAAAUUAAGCAACCAGCCCAGACCCAGAUGGGGAGAGUAGCAGAAGACGGUGGUGGCACUGGUGUCGUAGCCAAUAACAGGGGCGUCCCGGCUGCUUGGGGAUUGGUGGCUAAGCCUUGUGACUGUUGCAGUUCCGCCGCGGCUUUGCUCUUCUGCCGGACGGAUUCACUUUUUAUGUGCAUGACUUGUGACUCUAAGAUGCAUGCCACCAACAAAAUUGGGUCGAGGCACGAGCGGGUGUGGAUGUGUGAGGUGUGUGAGCAAGCGCCCGCCAGCGUCACUUGCAAGGCAGACGCGGCCGCGCUGUGCGUCACUUGUGACCAUGAUAUUCACUCCGCCAACCCUUUAGCCCGCCGCCACGAGCGGUCCCCGGUGGUCCCUUUUUAUGACACCGCCGAGUCCGUGGUGAAGUCCACGGCCGCUACUUUAUUGGUUCCGCUCCCACCACCAGCCGUUAACAAUUCCUCCAACACCGGCGCCAAUAACAUGGUCAACGAUACAUGUCACGGCCACGAUGCGAAAAUGACCACGUGCUUUGCACAUGAAAGUUAUAUGUCUGAUCCGUGGAUUUCAUCAAAUCCAAUGAAUUCCAAACUUCCAACUGAUGCUCCGGAAAUCAAAUCAGUGGAGUUUCUUUUCUCUGACUCGGAUAACUAUCUGGAUUUUGAUUACCGAAUUUCAUCGGGAGCUCGAAUUCAACAGCAUUAUACUAGUUCCGGAACUGAUGGGGUUGUCCCAGUCCAGACAACCAAACCUCCAUUUCUCCCUGCUCAACUGCCGGGCCAUCAUCAGCCGUCCGAAAAACACUUCGAAAUUGACUUCACUAAAUCGCACAUCAGUUCAUAUACUCCCAGCUACACUUCCCACUCUUUGAGCCAGAGUGUGAGUUCGGCCUGAACCUCUACCAGUUUAUAUUGGAUCAAAGUACUGAUUUGUUUUGUUUCACUUGGCACUGAAUAAUCUUGAAUUUGUUUUUAUUCAGGUUUCAUCCUCGUCUUUGGAUGUCGGAGUGGUGCCGGACGGAAGUUCUGUGUCCGAAAUCUCGUACCCAUUUGGGCGAAAUUUGAGCGGCAGUACUGCUGAUUUGAGUGGUUCAUCAUCCGGGGGAAAUAAUCAAGGAUCCCAGUUGCCCGGAAUGGACAGAGAAGCAAGAGUUUUGAGGUACAGGGAGAAGAGGAAGAACAGGAAAUUUGAGAAGACCAUACGUUACGCUUCGAGAAAGGCCUAUGCUGAGACGAGGCCAAGGAUUAAAGGGCGGUUUGCAAAGAGGGCUGAAGCAAUCGAGUCUGAGAUUGAUCAGAUGUUUACUUGUCCUGGCUCUGCUGCCUUCUUUCCUGAGUCAAGAUACGGUGUCGUGCCAUCCUUCUGAUGGAAGAGAUUGAAUGUGUUGUAAAAAUGUAUUAGUAUUUGGCAAGGAAUGUUAAUGAUCAAAGUUUCUUUUCCUGUCAAUAAUUGAUCAUCACUAGUAAUUUCUCUGUUUCACUGACCUGUGAUUUUCAACAAAACAGUAGCCUUUUUUUUUUUUUUUUUACUUUUCUUUUGUAAAUUGAUUUCCAAUUUUGGAAGACUAACAAGAUUCUAAAACUCAGGGACUUUAGGCCUUAUGGUUUAUUUAGCUCCUUAAACAUCUAGCAUUUGUUUCGGGCAUCGCAAAUUUGUUUCUAUUAAUGUCUUAGGCAACAUAAAACCUCCAACAUAGGGAAAUUGAGUAUGAAUUCCGUCUACCCCACUUUUGCAAUUUUAUUAAAGGGGGCCUGUCACGAGUGCCCAACAGAGUUUCAAUGUUAUGUAAUAUUUUAAAAAAAAUAAAGUUAAAUAGAUAAAAUAUAUAAAUGUACGGACGGUAGAAUAAUAGUAAUAGUUUGGGUGUUAUAUAUAAGUGUACUAAUGAAUGCUCAACUCGAGAUUUGAAAUCCGAAUCAACCUCGGAUUUUUGUAUUUCCUUGCUUUAAUCCCUUCUUCUUUUAAUAAGAAAUUCUCAAGUUUCAGACGUAACAUUAUUGCAAAUUUUUCUUUAUAAGAUUACAAGGUACCUAUAAACGCGCAAGUAUAUAUAUAUAUAUUUUUUGGCGACCGAGUCAAGUACUAUAAAAAGUUUAAAUUCUAAUUUCAAAGAAGUAAGCGCAAUCUGGAGCCAGAGAUUUCUAUUUUCCAGUGAAGUCUCUUGGCAACUCAUCCACUCGGCAGGCGGGCAGUUAAUUUGAGAUUUUGAACGGGCCAACCACUCUUGGUCAAUUGGGUAGAUGGUGUAUCAAAGGAAAAGGUUUUAAGGCCGGUUUUGAUUUUCUAGUCAAAUUUUAGCAUUUUCUCUGUUCUUGGUUUCCAUUUUCUCCAAGAGAAGAAGCGUUAUAGUAUCUAGACUUUACCAUGAUUGGAGGGAAUCAUAUGCUAUAAUUAUCCAUGGACUUUGUUUCGACUGCGUCUGCGUUGCUGCACUUGGUUAAACGAGGAAAUACUACUUCGAUUUAUUUAUUGUUUGGAUUGUUAGUUUUUGCAAAAAAUUUUUAACAUUUUUCGUGAAUAUAUUUUUCAAUUAUUUUUUUUAUUUCACAUGUAACAAAUUGUUACACUAUAUUUUUUUUAAUAAAAACUCCUAAAAACUGGAAUCCAACCAACGUAAUACAGAUGCUUCUGACAAGAAAUAUGCACACGGAUGGGCUAUGUUUACCUCAACGUAAAGUGGUAUCUAUAUCUGAGCGUUGAUUGGUUGAAAGCCACGUCAUUCCCCUUCUGUAGAAAAGUCAACACGGCUGAUAUAAAUAAUUUCUCUACUUGACCUCAAAAAAUGUUUAUUACUGAAAGUUGACUCGUUUCUUGAUUUUUAUUUUUUAUUGAUAGAAUAUCAAAAAGAUCGAUAAAAACCUUUAUGAUGACAACCCCAAACAGACAAUUGGUUAGGUUUUAUUCAAAUUGUGGGGACUUUGAAAAUUGACUUGAAUAAGAUACAAAUUAAGACAUAAUCUAUUUGUGAUGGUUCCUCUAUUAUUAUUAACAAAAAAAAAAAAAGAGUAUGUAAUUAGGUACGAUAACACUUCCAGAACUUUGCAGCUGUAUGUGAUUUGGUGUCCGAAGAUGAGGAUAAAACUAUUCAACAAUUUGUCAUUAAUGGAUGGUUCGAUAUUCCCUUUCCUUAUUAAAAGCUGUAGAAGCCUGAACUCCUCCUCAAUGCUAAGUGAGAGCUGGCGCCUCAAAUCAACAAAACAUUUUGUUGGCGUUUAAUUUGUCAGAGUUUUCCUCUAUACGUAAAGAAACAAAAGGAUGAUCAAAUCCAGUUCUCCCCGUGGGUGUACAUUUUUGUAUGCAGUGAUUGCCCAAUUUUCCUUCCUUGCCAAACGCAGGUGCUGAGGUGUCAAAUGGCCUAUGAUGUCCGAAAUCAAAAUCUCAAAAUUCUUUUCAAACCACAAGUAAUUAGACUUUGAUUUAAGAAAAAUUCAUUACGUGUCAUUCUACUAUCAUUUAAGCGGCUCAGAUAGGAAGCCUGCAUCAUCAAAUCUAGUUUUUGGAUAUCUAUUAAUUGUUGUUGGGCUCUUUUGGCACUAUAUAAAAGGUCAGCUGGAUAUUACUAUUAUAGUCUAAGUGUCUUUUUACACGAUUGAUUGGUGAGCAAUAAUAACUUAUUAGGCAUCGCCCAAAAAGAAAAGAAUAGAAAAGAAAAAAACUUAUUAGGCACCUGCUAGUAUAUUGAAAAACUUUUCAUACUCAACUUCUACCGUUUCCGAAAAAAAAAGAAAGAAAGAAAUCAUACUCAACUUAUCAUGCAAACAUACACACUUACAAACUAUUAUCCUUCUUUUCAUUUAUACGUUUUAUUCAUUUAACAUUGGUUCCUUAAUAAAAAUUAAUACUUGAACUCUAUCUUUACUGAAUGUCCACUCAUUAGUGAUUAGGCAGGCAUUAAUGGAUUAUCAGCGAAAAUUUAUUUGCUUGUGUCAUCGACACAUUUUUCACUCAUCUUUUUUUUUUAUUUCACAUACAUCAUAUCAAAAAAGUUUUACAGUAUUUUUUAUAAAAAUUAUUCCAAAUAAACUACUAGUAUUAUCCAAACACACUCAAUAAUUAAUGAGUAAGCGAGAGCGUUAGAGUUUCAUGGUGGGUAAGUCAUCCCUCCUUGACGCGUUCCUUUGCCAUAAGGGCAAGAGUGGAGAAGAAUUAAGUUCGUUAGUUGCUUGCUUGAAUCAAACACUAAAAAUUAGUUGCUUUCUCAUAUAUCAAAUAGUAUCAAAAUGGGCCAAUGGAUAAGCAAAGGUCUCAAGAAUCAUGUCGGGGGCUCCACUUUUGAAGAUCAACCAGGUCCCGCAGCGCAUGAACUUCACGUGUACCUCUGGACCUUGCCCCUUCUCUUCCACCCCUACCAACCAAUCGGGGUCCCCCGUCCCAUUGUCCACCACCGGUGGCGGUGUCCCCUGUCCCUACCCAGCCUCAGUCCUGUCCACUCGCUAAGUUUUACAGUCUUCAUUAUUAUUGUCUUCUUGCCUUCUUUACAUUUUUCGUUUUGAGACCUUUGAUCUUUGAAGACGUUGACGAAAAUCCACUUUAACAUAUCUAAAUGUCAAGUAAUUCCACCAUGCUCAACUAUCACGUCAACUUUGAUGUGUUUGUUCUUUUCUAUUUUUCCCUUCUUUUGGUGCAAUAGAUAGAUAGCGAAAUAGAUUUUUUGAACCCUCAACUAAUUGUUUUGCACCUACUACAAAACAAUGCAGAUUUCAAAUCCACCAUAACUCUCUAGAGAGUCUAUGAAAGCAUAGCUCAUUCUUGUUUUUUUUUUUUUGGCAAAAAGCUUAAAUAAACGUGGGGAUUGUCAAUAGUAUUUGAUAAGUCUCUUCACAAGAUGAGAAUGUUAAGUUUAUCGUUUGAGAGGUGAAGUUCUUGUUAGGCAUUGUGAAAGAAGGUAAUCCUCCUUCCCUUCUUCUAGCAACGUCCUUGAAUUCUUUUUCCUUUCCCCCCGGAAAUGUUCUGAAAUGAUCUUCAACUUAUUAUUGUGAUCCUAUUUGAUUUCCGAGGAAAAUAAAUACAUAAAAAGAUCUUUUGGUUAUCUUAAAUGUUAACAACAUAUUAAUUACUAUAAAAGUUUCAUAUAUACAUUAGAAAAUUAUUGAAUAUGUUAUUUCCUGAUACCAUUGUUUCUUUUACCAAAUUUGGGAUCCAAACAUGGUCUUAGGGGAGUCCUUGAAUAUUUGAUCAAGUGCAUUAGCCUUCUACCUCAAGUCAUGAGCGAAUAAGGCACUAAAAAAGGAAUAAGAGUGGAAUAUAAUAGUAGUAAAUUUAUAUUGAACGCAUAAUUGCAUAUUUGCUCGUUAUUACGCUUAUUCUUUGUGGGUCAAACUCAUCACAAGAUACCAUAUUCGUCAAUACUCCAAGUUCUAUUUAAACCCUGAAACUACAUAGGUUUGGCCCAAAAACCAUGUAUAUAUAAGAGGAGAAAUCAGGAACAGAAAAGUGAAAUAAGAACUGGCAAAGGAGCAGGGUCCUAUCUACUCCUGGACUGCAUAUUAAAAGUCUUCCAAAGAUAUAUCUGAUGGAAGUUGAUAUCCAAAAACCAUAGAGUAAUCAUCCAUUUCAUCACUUGUAAAUUUUGGUAUUCUCCAACUUCUUGCUUCUUCAGAGUCAUUUCCAAAUGUUAACAACUCCAAAACCUACAUCAUAACACCAAAAUGGAAGGAAAUUAAGAUAAUAACGCAGAAGGGCUAGAUGUCAAAAAAAAAAAAAAAAGAAGGAAAAUGAAUGUGUUAUGUGUAUAAGAACAUCUCUAUUUGGAAUCAAAUAGUUAAAUUGGAACAUUAAUUCUGAGUUUUACAUACUUCAGUCAUCGAGGGUCGCCAGAUUGAGGUUUGCCUGACGCAAUAUGAAGCAGUGAGCACCAGCCUAUGCAAUUGUACCAUAUCAUAUUUGUCUUCUAAUCUGGGAUCAGCAAGUUCACUUAAUUUUCCAGAUUCCAUUAAGGGCUUCGCCUGUUUCACAUAAAAAUUUUGACAUUUGUUAGUUUACAUAUGUAUUCUGGCACUAUUCAUAAAGAUCCAAUAAAUUUUGGCAUAAUAAACUUAGAUAAUAUUCCUGCGUUGGAAUCGCUCUGCUCUAUGUUACAAACCCUGUAACAUAAUCUACUGAUGAGAAAAUCCUCACCCAUAGAAGCAGGUUUUGUUGUGAUGAGUCCACUGGUCUCCUCCCAGUUAUGAUCUCUAAAAGAAGAAUCCCAAAUGCAAAAACAUCUGUUUUCUCAUCCACAAUUCCAUGCAUGAAAUACUCUGGUGCUAAGUACCCGAAUGUACCCUCAAUUGGAAUCACAGCAUGGUGCGUCCAUUUGUUAGGUAACCAUUUUGCAAGCCCAAAAUCUGAAAUCUAACAACAAUAGCAUCGAAAAUAAAUUCAAUUCAAUUUUUGUUAAGAACUCUGUUUUGCAGAUGUAAACGCGAAAAAUUACUCAAUUGCCAAACCUGUGGUUCAUAAUCUGGUCCUAGAAGAACAUUAGAGGCUUUAAUAUCGCGAUGUAUUAUUCGAUGUUUGCAACAUUUGUGUAAAUAGUGUAAACCUCUUGCAACUCCAAGGGCAAUUCUAUACCUAACUGGCCAGUCUAGAGAUUGGCACGGUUUGCCUGACCAGAAAAAGAAAAAGAAAAAACACAAUCAACUAUCGUUUAAAAUGGUCCAACUUGAUUAAUUCUGAAUUCUGAUUGAUUUAUUACCAUGUAAAGCAGAAGACAGUGUUCCGUUUGGAUAGAACUUGAAGAUCAAAUAAAGGCCCUUUUCCACGCAGCAGCCAACUAAGCUCGCAGUGUUAGGGUGGUUAACAUGUCCUAUAAUGCCUAACUCCAUGAGAAACUCCUUUUCCUUGUCUGCAUUUGUGUCAUUUGCUAGCCGCUUUACUGCAAUGGUGCGUCCAUCGCUAAGGACACCCCUAUACACCUCCGAGAACCCUCCUUGUCCUACCAUAUUCUCUGCGCAAAAACAAAAUCUUAGCUAUUCAAAUUCAAUAACAAUCCUCAAGUGAGUUUGACAAUUCAUAUUUCCAGCAAAAAGUGUGGACAUUAUUAUAUUGGAGAUGGAAAUCAUUACUUAGUAGGGACGAAAAGAAAGAACAUGAUAAAAUUUAGAAAAAUGUUUGUUAACAGCAAUAAUACUAUUAGAAAUUAGACAUCAAGAAGUCUACCUGGAUGGAAAUUGUUGGUGGCAUUUGCAAUUUCUUCAUAGGGAAAACACUUAAACGUAGGUUGCUGCUUAUUUUUGUUGAAGAGAGUAUCAUUUCUUUUUCUUGCACUUGAAUCAAAUGGUGAACGAAAGAAGGAUGAUAUUAUCUUCAAUGGAGACAUAGGCCUUUUGGUUUCUGAUUGCCUUUUAGACUCACUAGCAACAUAUGGAGACUUUCUAAUGCUUGAUUCGUCAAUGCUAGAACCAUCCUCCAUCGUGCCCUGUGAUUCACGUUCACAGGCAUCCAGCACAGUCCUAGGUGAACGUUUUUCUGUCUUUGCUUUUGAGCCAGUGCGCUCUUCAUCUGAUGAAACUGAUUUGCUUGUUUGACUAUCUUUUUCUGACCACCUUGCGCUGGAUUGAUGAACAUCUGCUAUUACUUGAGAAUUAGAAAAUGUUCAAUGAAAGAGAGAAGGGAGGGGCGGGGGACCAGAAUUUUUUGAAUUUUCAAGAAAAACUGCACCUCCAACUUGUAUAGAGUUUGAAUGAAAAUUUGGUGGUAGGCAUCUGUAUUUCCCAACCAGUACUAAUGAACAGCCUUCAGGGACAUGGUCGCAACAAUACUUUCUAAUUCUGCGUGAUGGUCUGAUUGCAGAAGGAAAAUUUUAUGUUAAUUUGCGUCAAUGUCGUUGAAAAUGUCAUAGAUAACAAGGAGGUUUCUUACUUGUUUGACUGGUUGAUUUUGCCACCAAUGAGAAGAAAGUCUGCAGAUAUGCUUUUCGCUUCCUUGGCAAGUCCUCUUCCAACUUUCGAGCUAAAACCAACUCUAGCCUCCAAAUCCACCUUCAAUUAAAAAAUAUAGAAGCCAUUUUGUUUUAAUUGCAAAAGCAUCAGGAGACACAAUUUGGGCAUGUAUGCAUUCUAAUCGAAGCUGUGGUACCUGUUUUGAUUGGCAGGCCUUUGCAAACUCACCCAUUACAGAUAUAACAAAAUUUUUUGUAUGACGAAUUUUCUUCUGAUAUUUGGUAAUUGAUUGCCACUUCUUGUUAUCUUGUUUCUUUUGGUCGAAUGGUUUCUUGUUCUCUUCUGCCACUGUUUUAUGGAACAGAAAUGUGAGCGAUAAAUGUACAUAUCCUAUAAAAACUUACAUUAGAUAUGACACUAAGUUGCACCGAUGGUAUGAAGCUAAAAUUGCUUAGUGCACAUUUUACACUACAAAAGCUUGAAUUGGACUGACGCACAUUUGAGCCACUAUAGAAUUUCUGGAAACAGUUGAACAAGCAGUGUACUAACCAAGAACAUGCAAAGCAACGACGGUGUCAUUCGGCUGAGCCAAAAAUGUGAUUGCCCAGUAGAGCAAUUCUCUGCUUUCUUGAGCAUCCAGUGAUAUUCCAACAAGGAUUUUGCGACUUGAAGGAAUCAUUUCAAUUUAUGAGUUGAAUGAAGAACUGGGAUUUUUGUCUACUGUCCGUUUUGCCUUGUAUAACGGGUGUCUUGUCACAAUGAAAUAUCACAUGCAUGGAAUUUAUAUAUAUAUAUAUGUAUUGGACAUAAGCUAUGAUCGUGCUAUUGGUUAAGUGAGACCACCUUAGCCAUCAAAAGAUUCUUGGUUAAGAAGCAUAAUGUGGCUUUAAUCUACUAUGCGAAGUUAAGAUUGAAGAAGUGGUCACAUAUUAUUGUUUCUCUCUCGUCCCCCAAAAAGUAAAGUAGUGCACUUUUUGAACGAUGACAAUUAGUGUCUCUGGUUGGGUGCUUUGGGGGAUAAGCAAAGGUGGUGACAUCUAUGUAAUUUGCCUUGUUACAAAAGCCAAGAGAAGCCUCCCUUCUCAUUUUGCUACCACUAUUUUUCUGCUGAGUUUGGUACCUGGGGUUGUAUGCCAAGCAAAGAGAGUUCCCUUUUCAUCAUGACAACAAAUAAGAGAUUUUUUUUUUUUGGGAGUACAUAGUGCCAAGAGAGGCAAAGUACUACGCAAAUUUGCGAGGACCCUUAAGACUUCUCAUGUGUGUCUGUUAAAGAGUUAUAAUUUCUUGACCACUUCGCCAAAUGACAAUACUCAAGUUUUAAGCAUAAUCCGCACUGGAGGCUAAAUAAUUAAUCAGAUUGGAUAACAUGAAAUUAGUUCCAAAUCCAAAUAUAAUAUCAUAAUACCAUAAGAGUGAAAGGAAAAAUGGCAAAGAUUGAGACAGGAAUUGUUUACUUUUGGAAAUCUAUACCGAAUACCAUUCAGCUAAUCUAAGGCAGCUCAAAAUUGGCAGCAAUGAACUGAAACAUGCAACUAUUGCAGCAAUCGUUUUACUUCAAAUUAUUAGCUUUUAAUAAGUGGGAACCUUUACUGGACUUCAAAAUCAUAUUAAAAACAACCGGGAUAUCAUUCUUAUCAACAAACUUACAUUGCGGAUUACCGCUUUUUUUUGGUAGAUCAAUCAUCAAUGACGCCAUUUCCAAUGUACCCAACUUCGUUUUUGCGAUGAUGGAUCUGUACUUUGUGAUUUUUAUUACUAAGUGAGACUUAUUGGUAGUCUGAAUUUAAUUUGUAAACUAAAGUUGACAAUAAAAUGUUGCAAGAGAAACUGAAUAAUGGGCGACAGACAAAAUCAUAUUGUUUCUAGUCUCGGAUAUUUUUUGUAUCACACAUGAAUAGGAAAUUGAAUUCAUCAUGUACCAUUUUUUUUUUUUGAGGCUCGUUUCAGUGAUUAAUCAAACUCUUAAGCAUAAAUCUUAGAAAGGCGGUUUAUAACUGUUACCAGUUAGUGAGAUGGAUUGGUUUCUGAUGGGCGCUACUUGGCUCGAAAUAGCAAUUGGCUAGCAGCCGAUUCCUUGAUUAUACUGCUUAGUGGGAAAAUCACUCAUUCUGAGUGUACAGAUUAAGAAAAAAUUAAGUUAUUCAAUGGAAGUUAUUAGAUUUUUUUUGUCCAAAAAAAAAAAGAAAUCGUGAUUUUUUUCUUUUUUAGCAAACAAACAAAAAAACGUUAUCGGAAGUGAAAGUUAUUAGAAGUUGCUAGACUUAAAUAGUGUAAUUUUUAGUAAUUCUUUGCUUUUAAGAGAGUAAAAUUGAAAAAAUAAAAGACGACAUAAAAUUUUAACAUCAAGUCCUUUCUCAUGCUUCAUAUAUAGAAAAAUUUCCCGCUUAUUACUUUGAAUUAGGGGUGAGCAAAUUCGAUACAUACCGAAUUUAUAACCGAAUUCAAAUUCAAUUUGAUAAUUUAAAAUCGGGUAUUUGGUAAUUUGGUACAAAUUCGGUACGUACCGAAUUCACCGAAUUCUAAUAUGGUAUGAAAUAGGUAAUGAGAUUAUAAAUUUGGUAAUAACCGAUUUCGCAUUCAAAUUUGGUAAAAUGAAAUAGGGUACCACAUUACCGCAUUCGAAUACAAAAUUAGUCUAUAAAAUUAUAUAAUAUAUAGAUAAAUGCUAUUUAGUAUUAGUAUAUUCUACUAAUAUAUUAUUAUAUUAUAUAUAUAAAUGCUAUCAAUAAUUGUUAGUAUAUGGUAUUAUCACGUACUUAUAAUAAUAAUAAUAUAUAAUAAUGUACAAUAUAUUAUUUUAGUAUUUGUUAAUUGUUAUAUGACUAUAAUAAUACAAAUAUAUAGUAAUACAUAACAAUAUAACAUAACUAUAAUACUUAUUAUUUUAUACAUGAGUAACAUGACUAGAAUUAGAUAAUAAUUAAUACAUAUCUGUACAAUACUAAAUAUUAAACAAUAAACAUAAUUAGUAAUUAGAAUUUAGAUAUUGGUAAUUUGAUACAUCAUUCAUGUUUGAAUUAUUGAAUAUUUGAAUGUGUAACCUGUAACUUGCAAGUAUUAGUAUGCUCUAAAUUUACAUUACAUAUUUAACAUAAAAAUUCAUAUUUUCUAUUCACUAAUCUUAAGGUUUUAAGUAUAGACAAGACAACUAAGCAGUUUAAGUGAAUGCAUAUAAGUUGCAAAUUAAUGUAUUAGUGUGUUGACUUUCAUAAUAACAUAUGUAAGUGACGGGUAUUUUACAUACAUGCAAGCUAAAAAAUACCGAAUUACACCCGUUCACUGCAAGUAUACAGAUCAACUAGUAGUUUAGGGUAUAUAUCGGGUCGAUCCCACAAGAAAGAGUGAACAAUUACCGGUAUUACUAAAGCUUCUCUAUUAUUUAGACUAUCAAUGAAUGAUAAGAAAUUUAACCUACUGCACUUAUACAAGAAAUUAACAAAUAAAAGCUCCUUAGGUUGUGGUAUCCCUAACUACUCAUGCAAGUGUUAUAUUUGGAUCAUUGAAUACUACAUCUAGGCUAAUUAUGGUGUAAUUUCCUUAUGCAUUUGAAUCCUACUUUCGUAGUGAAUCAAUUAUACUUAUAACUAAUCCAUACCUAUUCUCAUGGUUAUGAAAUUAGCUACAAGUUUAUUUCUUCAGUGAAAUUACAUGAAAUGAAUCACUAAAAACCACAUAGGUGCACCUCUACUUUCGUGAGUGUACUCCCUAUGUUUAGCACUUCUUGACUAAUGUUAAAUCUCAAUUUUCAUUGCAGAAAUAACACCUUAGAUAAUCAGAAUUAAUGGUACCAGAUUAAUCAUGAUUUAAAGAGUUAAAGUGCUAAAUAACUUGCUCAAAUCAUAGCAGUUAAAUAGCCAAAUGAUAAACACUAACAAUCAUAGAAAGUUCAACCAAACCCAAGGCAUAAACUUUAGAAACACAUAAAUAACAUAAAUUCCAGAACUUGUAUAUUAACUAAACUUGGAAUCAAAUACAAAAGAUAAAGAGUUUGGAAGGAAUACAACCCUUGUCACAUGAGCUUUCUUCCUUGCCUUCUUCAUCCUCCAUUUUCAUCCUAAUCUAGAUAGUAUACAAGAGUGGAUGAACUAACUAGCUAAACUAUACUACACUAAUCUAAUACUAAGAGAAUGGAAAAACUACAUUUCUGCACUUCCAAGCUUCUCCCGUAUCUUCUGCAUGUCCUGGUUGCUCCCUAUAUAAACUGCUCCAAAAGCUCCUUUUCCAUUGGUCCAAACUUGCUGCAUUUGAUUUCCAAAUCUGAAAUUGUUAAGAUAGUCAAUAGCCAUUGUUUUUGACUUGAAAAUAUGCCAACUUUCUUGCCCUUUUGUCUUCUAAAGCAUGUGCACCGAAUUCUCUUGCAGAUUGUAGCUGGAAAGUAGUCAGAACACAAGAGAAUUGACUGAGCAAAAUUGCAGAAUUGCGGCCGGAAAACGCGCCUACACUAAACGCGGUUACAAGUCACGUUUUGUGUACUCGCGUAUUCACUUUGUCCUUACUUCAGCUGCGAUUUUCUCUAUCAUAAAGGCUGAACUGGAUUUUUUGUAAAACACCAAAGUUGUAGCCCUUUGAGUUAGCUUUCCAAUGCUUCAAGAAUCAUCCAAAUCUGAGCUUUGUAGCCUGAGAUAUGAUCGAAAUACUAAACACUGGUCAGAGCUCUGUUUUCCACUUUGGACAGCUGAGUUGAAUUUCGGUAUUUCAACUUUUGGACUAUGAAAACGGCUGAACUGGACUUUGAUGUCUUCAUACCAAAUGUAGAUAUAUCUCUUAGCUUCAAAAUGGUACCAAGAUCACCUUGAUCCGAUCUGUGUACCUCCAGAUAUAGUCAAAAUACCAAAACGUGUCAGAGUUGUCAAAACCUGACUUUUCUUGAUUCAAAUUGCAUUUUUCCUUUUUACACUUCAUAUUUUAUUUUCACCACUUUAAUCCAUCUUCAAUCAUCCAAAUAUCUUCUCAAUGCACUUCAUUUGAUGAUUGAAUCAUUAAACCUACAAAAUAUGAAGUUUUUACCAUAAAAAUCCAUAAAAUGCAAUGUUUAGCCAUUUUAACAUAAAAUGUAGUUUUUUUACCAAAACCUUAGUUAUUUUAGUUAUUAAACUAAAUAAUCAAACCAAAAUUAACUAAUAAAACACACAAAAAAUACGUAAAAUAAACUCUUAUCAGUAAGUAAAUAAGUUUUAUUUUGAUUUGAAAUAAAUUAUAAGUUGUAACUAAUAUAACUUAUCACUAAUCAUUGUAAUUUGUAAGUUUGUAACUAAUAUUACUUAUUAUUAAUCAUUGUAAAUUAUAAAUUCAUAAAUUAUCACUAAUCAUUGUACAGUAUAAGGUUUAUUCUAGUUUAAAUUAAUCACUUUUUAUGUGUUCCUUAAAUCAUAGACUAAGGAUUCUAAGUGUAAGUGAUCAAAUAAAUGCCAAUUAAAUUAAACCACAAAAUGAUUAGAACAUAAGUAAUGUGUUAAAUUAUGAAUAAAUUUGGGGAUCAAAUCAGUAAUAAUUUUUAAAAAAUCAGUUUUUUUUUUAUAAAUGAAUUCGGUUAACCAAAUUCAUUACCAUUUCCGAAUUCGAAAUCGGUUGCGAAAUGAAUUCAGUUAUAACCAAUUCGAAAUUGAAAGCGGUUUAGAUUUCUAUAAGUCAAAUAACCGAAUUUGUACCGUUUGCUCACUCCUACUCUGAAUUGGCAUAAAACAUAACUUGAUGUAGUCGAAGUCGUACGACUAAUUACUUAGAAUAUGGUCCAGAAAAAAAAAAUUCGGACAUCUACCACCCUGAUAAUGGUCUGUUGCAAAUCUAUGGGUACCGGGCUGUGUCAGCCCGGCACCCAAAAGUUAGUCAAAAAUUUUUUUUUGACCUCUGACAUCGGCCCGGUAGCGGGAAAAUUUUUUUUAAAAAAAAAGUGCAAAAAAGCUGGCUGCCGGGCUAGUGGAAAGUUCACUUUUCUGCGCAUAAGAAGCAGAAGCAAUGCAAGGAGGCCAACUCAACUUUGUGGAGACGCACGAAGAAGUAUAUUCAGGCACCGGAGAAAGCGAAUUAUGCAUGGAUAAAAAAUGUUAUAUAUUUUAAAAUUAUAAUAAAAGUCCUCUUAAAAAUUUAUUCAUCAUCUAAUGUCCAAUACUUAUAUUUGAUAAAUUAAAAUAGUUAAUUAAAUAUUCUAUUAUAAUAUAAGUAACUAUAUGUCAUUGAGUCGAAUGAAUAAUAUUUUCUUUUUUCUUUUUUUGGCAUUUCAACUAGUUGUCUAUUAAGUUUCAAUUGAAAUAAAGAUUUUAUAAUUAUUUAAAUUGUUCAAUAAAAUUAUCAAUUUAAGAUGAACAUAAAUAUAAAUACAUUAAAUUGUAUUAUUGAAAUAUUUAAUUUAAUAUGAAGGAAAGACAAGAAGAAAUGGCAAGAAAUUUUUUAAAAAUUCAUGUGAGUUCUUUAUAUUGGUAAUCACCUUUAUUUGUUAUUAUAAUCAUAAUACCUGAUCAUAACCGAUUGAAACUCAUAUCCUAAUACUAUUUACAACUAAAGUUACUAUAUACUCAAAUUAAAAUUUUCUUUUUUUCACUAAAUUUUCUUUUAUAUAUGAUGUAUGUGUUAUCAUUUGUUGAUAAUUAAUAUAACGAAAAGAUGCUCUUUAGGCUAAUAUGUCUUGACAACGUGGAUUACUUUUAAGGAUUUGAAUGAGAACUAGACCACAUUUUUUAUGUAUUCAAUCUAAUUCACAGUAUAUUUCAUUUGAAAUAUAAUUAUUUAAAACAUAAGAGACCAAAAAAUAUGAAGUCAAACUUUUGACUAAUUCUAACUUGAUUUGACCGUUAUAUAUUAUAGUUUUGUAUUAGUUGUCCUAAAUUUGGCUAAAAUAAAAAAUUUGCAAGGAGAUAAUUAUUUUGGUCAAAAUAUUACGGAUUAGUUUAACUCAUAGACCAAACGUUGGGGGGACCAAAAUUGCACAUGUUCCUUUAUUUUAAUUAUAUUUGAUAUGCUAACCCUUUCUUUUAUAUUUACGCCUCAAUUAUUUCAAAUAUGAAACUGAAUUAAAAAAAUAAAAUCUACCACAAUAUUUGUUUUGACAUGUACAAAAUUCACUAAAUAAUGUUGAAAAUUUUACCCAUUUUCCAAUACAACAAUUUCGUUCUUAUCUUUAUUAAAAAUUUAUGCCGCUUGACGUACGAAAUCCGACUGUUUUUGGAGUUAAUUAAAUUACGUUUCCAAAUUCGAACAAUAGAACUAGAUGAAAACAGAUUUGUUAAAUCAAUAAUUACUUCUAUAAGAUGUUAAACUAAACAAAGGCCGUUUUAAACAAAAAAUCUCAUUCAUUUUACAAUAAGAUGCAGUUCUCAAAUUGUUGAAAAAUUAUUUGUUAAAAUUGUUAUGUAAUUUUUAAUGAUUUUCCCACCAGCUUUAUUUUGUCCAUUUCUCUGCUACGCACCUGAAACGCAAAUUAGUCACGGGUUGCUCAACAUCUACCUGCCAGCCUUUUUUUUCAUCCAUAAGCCCCGAUUCAAUGUUUGCAAAAUUUUUUUUAAAAAAAUUAGACUGGCUGCUGGGCUCAGCUUUUUUGCAGAAGUUGUCGGCUACCGGGCCUUGUCAGCCCGGCAGCCGACAACUUUUAAAAAAAAAAAAAAUUCCCGCCGCCGGGCUGUGUCAGCGAUGUCAGAGGUCAAACAAAAAUUUUGACUGAUUUUUGGGUGUCGGGCUGACACGGCUUGGUACCCAUAAAUUUGCAACAGACCAUUGUCAGGGCGGUAGAUGUCCGAAUAUUUUUUUUUCUUGACCAUAUUCUGAGUAAUUAGCCAAGUCGUACAUGCGCUAGGUAUGUGCUCUAAUAUUUUGAUGCAACCAUAAUUUUAGUAUGGGUAAUGAUAAGCAGACAAUGUUUCCACUUUUAUUCUUUGAUUUUAUACCAUACAUGCUUGUUAUUUGGUCUGAAAAAACAUUCGAACCAUGGUCUAAUACAUCCCUUUAAAUCAAUCAAAGAUUCUAAACUGAUUACAAUACUUGAAUCUCCCAUUCUUAGCCCCUCUCCCCCCCCCCCCUCUCAAAAAACGAAAAAAAGAAAAAAGAAAAUUGACAUGGCAAUACGUUUGCACUAGAAUUAUUAUUAUUAUUAAUUAUUAAGAGUACGUAUUAUAUGACCAAAGAGGAUCACAAACUACAUUAUCAUACACUAGAAAAUAAAAGAUUAUUGCAAAUUUUAUGUAACAAACACAUGUGUAACUCACGAAAUAAAAAGAAAAUCAAACAAACAAUUUUCCCAGUAUCCCUGAUUAAGCACGUAAUUUAAACAAUUACGUAGAAAAAAUUGUGCCAUGUUUGUCCAUCUUUUGAUUACCUUCGCCUAUAGGGAUCCCGCAUCUUCUGCAUGCUCAGGGCAUCAAAGACACCAUAGGCACUACUUUCAUCGACAGUUUUAUCCUUCUCAUCAUCAGUGUUUUGAUCAACAUCCAACAAAUCAUCCCCAUACUUGACACUUUUGAGCCUCAUUUGCUUCAUUGAAGCCUUGGGGUCAGUUCCUCUUAGCAAAUUCACCACUUCCUUCAUAGUAGGCCUCUUGUCAGCCUCCCCUUGAACACACAAUGCAGCAACAUUAAUAGCUUGUUUUAGCUGAUUUUCAUCGAAACUUUCUCGGAGUUUUGGAUCCACAAGAUCCUUGAACUUGCUUUUGGCAAUUAAGGGCUCAGCCCAUUCUGUUAUGGUUCUUUUAAUUCCACCAGGCAGCUUCUCAAUUGGUUUCCUUCCUGUGAUAAGCUCCAGUAGAAGAAUUCCAAAACUGUACACAUCACAGCUUUCUGACACCUUCCCCCACAUAGCGUAUUCUGGUGCUAAGUAUCCCAAGGUGCCCUUAACGCGGGUUGUCAUGUGGCUAACUCCUUCUGGGAUUAGCUUGGCGAAGCCAAAGUCGGCCACCAGGGGCUCAAAGUUUGAGUCUAGUAGCACAUUGCUGGCCUUUAUGUCUCGGUGAAUUAUGUGUGGAGUCACCUCAUGAUGCAAGUACCUAUUGAAAAAUUAUGAAUAGAAGUGUUGGGUAAAUGGAUUAGAACAAUUCGAAAAAUGAAGAACCUAUAUCGGAUUAAUCGAGGAGAAGGUGUUAAUUGCCUUAAAAAAAUAGCAAACACAAGAGGACUAACUCAACACCAGACCAUAAAUUAAUGUAACACCUCGAAUAACUUCUGAAUGUAAACAACGGCUCAAAAUAGUUUUUAUUAGAUAAGUUAUUAUUAGCUCUUCACCCAAUAUAUCACCUAUAAAUCAAUACUUGUUCACUUUUUCGCUUCGUAGGGUUUUUGAACAGGAAUGUAGAUUUUGGAACUUACAGCAAUCCUUCAGCAGAGCCAAGUGCAAUUCUCAUCCUCCUUUUCCAAUCAAGUUGAACUUCAGCAGCAAAUUGGCCAUGGAGAUGAGACAGCAAACUCAGAUUUGGCAUGUAAUCAUAGACAAUAAGCCUUUGUUCACUCCCGGCACAAUAACCUCUAAGUCCCAACAGAUUCUUGUGUCGUACCCUUCCAAGGACUUCAACUUCGACCGCGAACUCCAUCUCGGCCUUUGAAUUCAUGGAUUUCAAUUUCUUUACCGCUAUCUGCAUUUAUGACCCAAAAGAGUAAUGUUUAUACUUCAAUUAGAAUUCUGGACAAAUAUUAAUCAUCGUUGUAAACUGAUCUGAAAAGUAACAAAUAUAAAUAUCUUAGAAAAAGAAAAUGUGUAAGGAGAAGUCUACUCUUAGUUUGUUUUUCUAAUCAAAUUGUGACUUGCCUAAAUAAAACAGAUCAAGAUUUUGAGAAUAUGUAAAAGGUAGUAAUAGCGAUUAAUAUGAUUGAUUUACCUGAAGGCCAUCAGAGGUUUUACCCCAGUAGACACUGCCGAAUCCACCUUCUCCAAGUUUGUUGUCUUCACUGAAGCCAUGGGUUGCUGCAUGCAAUUCUUUGUACGUAAAUAUUCUCCAUGAAGUACUGCUGCCUCCAUUGAAUGACAACCUACAAUGUGUUCCGAUUCCAAUCAGUCUUCAAGAAUUACAUGGAUUCAUUUUGCAAAAAGCAACAAAUUACAGGAGAAGAAAACUAAUUUCCUUCCUAGUAUAUCUUGCACCUACCCAUCAACUUGUUCAACUUUUUCUGAGCCACAGCAACUGAGGGAUGAACCCAUAGUUUCUCACUAUGGGACCUCAAAUCUCAAGCCAGGACGGACUAAGUUAAAUUAAGUUUGUGGAAAGACGUCCGGCUUUUAUGCCUAACAACUGUCAACUUAGUAAUUCAUGCAAGACACUGCCGUCCUUUGCCGGCUCCAUCCAAACUAAGGUCGAUGGAUACAACUUGGGCUUGACACCCCCCCCCCCCCUCUCCCAAAAACACCCCCAAAAAAAAAAAAAAAAAA
rnacentral:lncRNA from 1 species